UGUCUGUCUGCAUUGCACAGGGGAGGAGGAGGAGGGAAGGAAGGAAGAGCAGCAGGAGGAGGAGGUGAUAUGUUGCAGGCUGCCAGAUGCUGGCUUGCAUUGUUGAUCUGCUGCUGAAAUACUUGGCUGCAUUCUCGUGGGUUCUGUUGUCAUGCAGACAGUCAUCAUGAUGUGGCAGACAAAGGUCCAGGUCCAUCUAUUCUUCUAGCAAAUGGAACUCCACCUAUUGAGACAGGAGCAUCCUCCCAAGACAUCUCCCUAAUUUAGAAACCUCUGCAACAGCUAGCAGGAGGGAGAGGGAUCUUGAGGUGGGUGCCUUCAUACAAUACACAUUGACACCACAACACACCAUGGCACAGCUGCAGUGGUUUCUUUUCCACUACCUAACACACCUAGGCUAACAUACAUGGCUAUUGGGUUGUUUAUAAGUAAGCUAUUAUUAUGCGUGUAGCCACGCCUUGUGUGCUUUUGGUGUACCCUAGUCAGGAGGUAUCUGCAAGUCCCAGCAGAGCUAGUGGGAGGAGGCUGGCUUCAUGGGAUGAACUUUCACACUGUGUACAGUAAAGGCAGUUUCCUAUACCGUGUCCGAGCACAACUCCUACCUUGGUGUGAUACCCUCUCAAAGCAUGUGGGAAAUGUCUCUGGACAUCAUUGCGUGAGUUCUGCGUUCCCAGAACGUCCCAUUACCUAGAAUAUAGAAUUGAGUUAUCUGGAUUCAGGAAUGACAACAGUGUUUCCCAAUUCUGCUAUCCCCAUGCUGACAAUAGUUGCCAGAUGGUCCCCUCACAGGACAGGCAUGAAUGUGGGUUGAGAGUAAAAAGCAGAAGAGGCACCAUAUACUUUAAUACUAUUUUGCAUUAAGUAUCCUCCAAAUGUUACCAAGGAAUAAUAAAUAGGAAAACAUGUUCAGCCAAUGCAAGCAGAAUUGAAGGUUUAAUGCGUCAUAAUUGUAAUUAAUAUAUCUAGUAAUUAUAAUAUCUCAUUGCUGCAGGGUCCUUAAUAAUGUGCUUUCUGAUCUUAUUUUAAUAGUUUUCUUCUUAUUUGCUGUUCUAUCCACAAGUUAUAAAGUGCUGUUCAAUAUGUUGGUGCCAAUAAUUCUAUAUUUUUUUCCCUUAAUAAAAACAAACAACUAUUCAAUUGAAAAUUGUGGAAACAAUGUGUUUCUGAAGCACCCCUUCCCCCCCCAAUCUAUGAGUUUACAAAUGUCCCAAGGUUGAUAAAACUGUAUGACAGAGUUGUCACCAUAACAACUACAGCAUGCUCUGGUGCCCCCCAGGGUAAGUAGUAAAACUAUUGUGAAACAGCUUGACAUCUUCCCUGGGUUCCUUGGGGUGCUCCUCUGUCUGUUUUAAGCCCAGCUCUCCAGGGGUUAGCUCUUUGGCUCAGAGUGAUCAGCUCUCAGUCAAUGAGCUAGCUCUGCACUGCAGAGAUUAGUACAGGAGAUCUAAGGGAAGCUCCUAGCAGAGGUUUUUCUGAAGAGGAGAGUAGUGGUGGUGAGAGGCACCUGGUGGACUUAAAGGAUCACUAUAGUGUCAGGAAAACAAACUCGUUUUCCUGACACUAUAGCAUCUUGGGGGACCCUCACCCUCAGGGUCCUCCUCCCGCUGGUCUGAUGGGGUUAAAACCUCUUCAGCCACUUACCUUAAUCCAGCGCAGGGCUCCCUUGGCGCUGGUUACCUCUCUUCCCCCCCUGACGUCAGUUCCCGAGUGGAGCGGAAUGCACAUGCGUGGCAAUGCUUUCCUAUGGACGUUCUGCACGCGGGAUGCAAAUUUCACAGUGCAGCAAGUCGAGGCGUAGAGCAUGCACCUGGCACGCAGAACUGCUGCUAGGCAGGUGCCUGGUUUGGUGGGAGGGUUGAUCACACACACACACACACAGCACCCCCACACACACACACACACACACACACAGCACCCCUCACAUACAACACUCACACACACACACCCCCCACCUCAAUGCAGUAUGUGUGUAUUCAGCAGUGUGUGCGUGUAUUCAGCAGUCUGUGUGUGUUUGCGUGUAUUCAGCGGACUGUGUGUGUGUACUCAGCAGUCUGUGUGUACUCAGCAGUCUGUGUGUACUCAGCAGUCUGUGUGUGUGUAGUCAGCAGUGUCUGUGUGUGUGUAUUCAGCAGUGUCUGUGUGUGUGUACUCAGCAGUCUGUGUGUGUGUACUCAGCAGUCUGUGUGUGUGUAUUCAGCAGUCUGUGUGUGUGUAUUCAGCAGUCUGUGUGUGUGUGUACUCAGCAGUCUGUCUGUAUGUGUAUUCAUCAGUCUCUGUAUUCAGCAGUCUUGUGUGUGUGUAUUCAGCAGACUGUGUGUAUGUAUUCAGCAUUGUGUUGGAGAUACUAAUAAAUAUAAGCUUAAUUUUAUCUAUUUAUAUCAUUAUUUAAAAUUUGUAUCAUUGAACUCUCUGUGUUCUUUUAAAACAAAAGUUAUUAGUUCGGACAACAGUACGAGUUGUUUUUUUCUAAACUUAAACCUCAGUAUUUGGGUUUAAUUGCCAUGUUGGCACUUUAAGGAGAAAAAAUGUUGGCAUGUAUUGCGGUUUGGGCACUCGGGCUCAAAAAGGUUCGCCAUCACUGAUCUAGGAUAUGACAAUAAUUUUACUCUCUGGACUUUCAUACCAUUUCCAAACAAGAAAUGACUCUGCAAAACCACUUGCAGUUGUUUUCAGACUGUCAACAAAUGGCAGUUCCACAGAGCAGGCCCUGUCAGUAUAAAUGCACUCAGGUCUCCUUUGGAAAAGUGCAUUAGCAAAUACUAACAAUAUCAGAGUGGCAUUAAAAAUUCACCACAUCUUACAUGUCUCUUGUGUGUGGAUAGUGUUUUCGCACAAUGAAUGGUAAUAUACUGGGUAUUUACAAUGUGAUUAACUAUAAGCUAACCAGAUACAUUUUCUCUUAAUCACAGAGGUACAUACUAGUGCGCCUCAGGUCCACUGCCAAAUAAGUGUUGAUUUGUAGUAGAUUCUUACAUUGUCUCUCUGUUAAUCACUGGAGGCAUUGCAUCAUACCUUUUCUCAGGAUUUUGUGUUUUACUAAUAUAUUGUCAUCACUUUGCAAACAGUGUAAAUGAGCCUACAUACGAGCUGAUCAGGGACCAUAUAAUAUAAGACUGGCAACAGAUGAUGCCCUCUCAUUAUUGUCCAAAAUCGUAACACCAGGAUCAUGCAGAACAGGAACUGUCUGUGGAUAAUAAUAGUAGAUGCUAAUAGUAAAAUAUUGAAACGAUGGCAAUAGGGAGUACGUGAAGUAGUGGGAGGCCUUUGCACCAUAUGGUAGUGGAUACUUGUACAAGCAGUCAUCCUGGACAGUAGCAUCUAAUCAGGUAAAAACAUACACAUUUUAGUAACUGUUAUCUACAUGAAUGAUGUUAAUUUUAGCUAGGGAUUUGUACAAAGAAAAUGUUCUACAUUUAAUGCACUUAACCAGAACAGAUUAUUGCAGUAGUUGUAAUACUAAAAAGCUCUUCCAUCCUCGGUCCCAUCUAAUGCUCUUUGUUGAGGAGUAUUGGGGACCUGAAGCACAUGCGAUGCUGCAUGCACACCCAAGCUGUAUUCAAUGCUUUGCUAUGAGAAAAAAACUCACUCAGUGCCACAGAAGUGCCUGUAGUAGUCAGGAAAUAAGUAUAUAGAGGUGGAUUUAACCUUGCAAUGUUUGUAAAAAAAAAACUGCAAUGUUUUACUUGCAGGGUAAAAUGUCAGGACCACUGCACCCAGACCACUUCAUUGAGAUGGAGUGGUUUGGGUAACUUAACUUUAGUGGUCCUUUAACCAAAUAGUUAGGUUCUGUGUAAGGACACUGCCCUCUUUCUUGCUUUUUGUGCCCUCUCUGUUUCUUUGCUAUGAACUGUUGUUAUACCAGGUUAUCGUUCUCUUGUGACCCAUACUUGUUUAACCAUUUAUGCUACUAGUUGCAAGGUUUUUUGUUUUUUUUAAUAUAAUUUCAUAGUUCACCUUGCCAACUCAUAAACCUUACUAUUCCUUUCUUUUCCUUGUUAGUAUGGUUUUCAGUGAUCUAUGCGUUCUGGGGUUUAAUCCUUACUAGAAUGUUAUAAUUUAUAUUCAGCUUUAACACUACCUUAAUGCUGACUCUUAAACAACCGAUUAAAAAUGUAAGAAAAAAAGAAGAAAAUAUUUAACAAUGCCCUUCUUAAAGUACCAUUAUUCUAAGUAAACAGCUUAAAAUUAUUUGCCCAUUUUAUACUUUUGGAAAAUUAUAGGAAAAUGUUACAUAUGCAAGAUUUCUUUAUUAGAAUAAAACAUUUUCACAGCCAAGUUUGUAUUUUGCUCCACAAUUAUGAUGCAAUUUUGCAUGCUAGAAUUCCUGGCAUGGACAUUUAUGGAAAAGAAGUGUAAUGUUUCAGAAUGAUUAAGGCAUGUAUUUCAAAGUAACAAGAGGUUAAGGGGUCAAUUUAACAAAUUUGUGAAAUUAGUCAAAAAAGAAUUUCCAGAUUGCUUAAGUUUAAAUUUCCUUGAACUUAGUUCUUUUUAUUAAAAUGUCGGCUGUCAACAUAUAACACUAACCGUUUAGGUAGUAGACUCCCAAGUAUAUUUUACUUAAAGAAGAUAUAGAUAUAUGGAAAUGUUAGAACAAGAUACAAAAGCUUGUUUGUGCUGAUGCAGCUGUUAGGAGAAGAUACUGCUGGUUACAAAAACAAACAGAAACACAAUUAAUGCAUUGAAAAUGGGUAUGAGCCUGGAGCGAAGGUGGUAUUUUAUGACAAUACUGUGCUUAGGUCAUUAGGGAGAUGGAAUUGGCAUAGAGAGUCUCUGAACAUGGAAAAAAAGUGGUUUGAAUCCACUAUGAUGAGUGGAAAUGCAUUAUGUUUUAGAUUUAUGAAAAGGAAACCAUAACCCUGUAGUGCAGGGCUUGACAAUUUUGCUUGGAAUCUAGCAGCCAGCUAAAAAAGUUAGGAGCCAGUUUUUUGUAAACUAACAAAGUUAAAUUUUUAUGACAAAAAUACAAUUCUUAAUGUAGUGAUUCUGGUGUCUAUAUCCUUUACCUGUAUGUUUUUUUUUUUACAUUUGAACACUGCCUUUUUAAAGAAAAUAUAGUGUUUACAUUGCUGCUAGUGACAGUCUCUCACAUGACCAUUACAGGUGAAUCCUAGUUCAGUGCUGCACAGUGUGCAUGGAAGCCCUGAAUGUUACCCAUAGAGAUACAUUGAUUCAGUGCAUCACUAUGAGGAGAUGCUGAUUGGCGUGGCGUUUUUUCACACAUGCGCAAUAGCCUCCUAAUAUUUUUAUUUGGGAGAGUAUUGGCUUGGCUGAGAUCAUUUGAUUAAAUUGAGAUCAGAAUGUUUAUCUCAGUCAUGGAGGUGGGAACAGCCACAGAGAGACUGGCAGGGCGUGGGAAAAAAGUGAGUAAAAAUACCUUUUCCAUGCGAUCAGAGGGGGGCACUUACUAACAGAAACACACACUCACUGACAGACACACUUUCAGACAGACACAAUCUCAAUGACACACACAUUCACUGACAGAAAAACACACUCACUGACUCACAAACACACUGAGAGACACACAUAUUCUCACACACUCACAAAUUAUUUUGUUUAUUUUAAUUUAUGUCCACCACGCCUCCCUACCUUUGGGAGAACUGGAAUAGUUCAUUUCCCUGGGGUCAAGUGAGGCUGCUGUAAUCUUCAAGCUCUUCUGACUCUGCUCCCUCGUGCGCAACUUAAUGAUGCAGGCGCUGGAGUGAUGUCAUAUUCCAGCUUCCGGCAUCAUAGCAGGACGCAAGAGGGAGCAGAGUAAGAACUGCAGGAAGAUUCCUGCUUCCUCGCCUCCACCUCAGUGCUCCUUCGGCUGGCUGUCUCCACGCUCCCAGGGCCAGCCUACACCACACUCCCUAUGGCUGACAAACAUCCUUGCGUCAGGAGUCUGGAAUUUGUCAAGCCCUACUGUAGUGGCAUAGAGUGGUUCAUAGAAUCUGUGGACACCAUUUUUUGACUGUUUAGAAAAAAACACUGCUCCCCUGUUGACUACAGUCUCUGUUCCUGCUCAGGGCUGGCCAGACUAAUGAGAAAGUCCACUUUUGCAUUAGCAGAGGUACAACAGGAUGGCUGGACUGUGGGUGCCAGAAGUGUCCCAUUCUUGUCUACCCACUCAUAAAUAGUUUGACACAAAUUGGUGAGAUGACACCCACAGAUUGCUAGCACCAUAACCACAACCACAUCAAGUCGCUGUGGUUAUAAGGCAUAUAGUAUUCUUUUGAAGGGGAAGAACACAGGUACACCUAACUUGAGAUAUAUCUUUAGGUCAGUUCACAGGCCUGAAAAAGCAGUGUUUAAAGCAAAAAGCCUGCAGUGACUGACUAUACUCACCAGAACAACUGCAAUAUGCUGUAGUUGUUCUGGUAACUAUAGUGUCCCUUUAAUGUAUUAUAUGUCUGAUCAAGUGAGAAGUGACCAAUAGAGGGGAAAAGGAGAAGUAAUAAAAUCUAUAUUUAUAUACUUAAUAUAAUAUAAUUGAUUAAAAUAUAUAUAUAUAUAUGUAUAUAUAUAUAUAUAAUUUGAACAAUUUAAAAAUAUAGUUUUUUUAUUGCUUCUCCUUUUUUGCCUCUUUGUUUACGUCUUCUCACUUGACCUGUGAACCAAAUGUUGUAAAAAAUGCACCAAUCAGUGAAUGAAAAAAUAUACACACUAUUGUUAUGAACGCUGGUAUUUCAGAUACCCAUUCGCUUUCGGUUCCUCCUGAACUGCUAAACGCCGAGUGAUUACAGCUCGCAGUUCGGGUGUUGAUUCGAAAGUCCUUCAGAAGAAAAUGCAGUAUCCAAGUAAAUUCUCCAAGCAAUCAGAUGUAUACCUAAACAACAGCCUAGACUAGAUGAAGGGUACAACAGAAAUGAAUGUAUUCAGGCCAGCUGGCCGGUUUAUAUGCAAGUCCCUAUGCAAGGGGUACACACUGUAAUUACAUAGGCUCUCAGGUCCAGGACACUCCCACACAAAAAAGGAUAAUCCCUCCUCUGUGCCUGUGAGAUAAUUGAGUCAAGAACUAUACUAAACUCAAUUAUCUCGAGGCACAAAAAGCAUAUAUUUUAACAACCCCCUGAAAGUGCCCCCAAAACACAUGGAAACCCCACAAAAGUCAUAUCCUCUGAAUGCCCCGUUCUGGGGACCAACAUAUCCAAAAAUCACCCAGAUCGGUUCAGGGGUUUGGGAUUUACAUGGAAGCCAUAAUUUGACCGACCACACACAAGGUCUUAUGCCCAAAACAGUUCCAGAGAAUCAGGGCUUGCGGCCGGUCUAGUUUAAAAACCGAACAAACUACUGAACAUAGUCAAUAGUCUUACCCUGUAGCUUGUUCCUCUCAUCCAGACGAACGAUUCCACUGAACAGUGCCCUUCUAAGUUGCGUAGAACCGAACGCAGGCGAUGCUGGAAGUCUAGUGGUGUUUUGGAGUUUCGGUGUCCGAUUUUAGUUCCAGGAACUCUACGACCAAAGUAUAUUAGUCAAGGUCCAUUGCAGGGGCCGUAGUCCUGAGACAAGAGGCUGGCCAGCAGGCCCCUCCAAGAACCCGUGGCGAGGUUCCGUUCAUUACAUUUCUUCCCCCCCAAGGUAAGACUAACCAGGUACCUGACCUGCUGCCGGUCGGUACCUGAGUUAGUCGGGCAGCUCACCCAACAACAAGUAGCUGACCUCUGGUGCCCGGCUCUGUCCUAUAUGUCCCAGGCUGCUGAGUGGGCGUCCGUCGCCUCCCCCGGUGUUUUUUGUUCUCCCAGGUAUGGUGCUGUGGAUACUUGCCCCUUAGCCAGCGUUACAGCCGGGUAGGUUGGAGAGUCAUCCGGUCCUGGACUGAGAACAAGGGGAGGGCAGAGGCCAACACCACUCUGCCCUGGUGCCAGCGCUUCUGAUGGGGAAACCUGGGGACAGACCGGCUCUAUAGCAAUGUGGUAGGUGGGGCAGAGGCCAGAGGCACUCUGCUCGGAUGCCAGCUCUUCCGCUGGUAGGGGGCCAGUGGGGACUACCCCACUACCUCCCCCCCCGGCCCAGAACCGCGACUCCUCCAGACUACCACAGUCAUCGUCCUCCUCCAUGGCACUUAACAAGAGGCCAGGGCCAUCGUAGCCCUCACCCUGGCUGAACGCCCUCUGCCAACCAAGUGUCUCGUUGGACUGCGUACCACCAUAGCGCCCAGUACGAGUCGUCCAGCAUCAUCUCUUUCUUGACCAGGAACUCAAGGUGCCUUACCCACUCCAUCAAGGAUUGCUCUCCCAGGAUCACCAUCCGUAUGGUCACUUGCUCCUGCCAGCAGUGCGCUGUACUUCGAACCUUUUUUUUCUGCCGAAGUGGUGCUACCUCCAUGGACUCCUGCCAGAGUUCUCGCUUUGUAAUGCACCUUGUAAUCUCCACUGGAACUCCUCCUCAUAUGGGGACACUGCCCGGGGGCUAGCUUGCGCCAUCUCCUUAGUUCCUCUUUAGACUGCUGGGCCUCUCACUGCCUUCCUGUUUCGGGAUCCAUUUGGAUACGAUCCCGCCACUUGCCACCUUGCUUCUCCUUUUUUGCCUCUUUUGUUUACUUAUUCUCACUCGACAGUUAAACCAAAUGUGGUGAAAAUGCACCUAUCAGUGAAUUAAAACAUAUACACACUAUUGUUACGAACGCUGGUAUUUCAGAUACCCGUUUGCUUUUGGUUCCUCCCGAACUGCUAAAGGCUGAGUGAUUCUAGCUCGCAGUUCAGGUGUGAAUUCGAACGUUCUCCAGAAGAAAAUGCAGUAUCCAAGUAAAUUCUCCAAGCAAUCAGACUUAUACCCAAACGUCAGCAUAGACUAGAUGAAGGAAUGAAUUUAUUCAGCCCAACUGGCCGGUUUAUAUGCAAGUCCGCAUGCAAGGGAUUUACCGUGACAUAUUCCAGGGGGCAUUCCCCACUGGACCUGAGAGGGGACUAUGGCAAAGUACAUAAUAGAUAAUUGAGUCAGGAUCUGUACUAAACUCAAUUAUCUCCAGGCACAAAAAAACAUACAUUUUAACAACACCCCGAAAGUGCGGGGUUCAGGAUUUCCAUGGAAGUCAUAAUUUGACUGACCGUACACAAGAUCUUAUGCCCAAAACAGUUCCAGAGAAUCAAGGCUUGUGGUCGGUCGAGUUCGGUAGUUUAAAAACCGAACAAAACAACCGAACAUAGUCAAUAGUCUUACCCUGGCUCUUGUUCCCCUCAUCCAGACGAACAAUUCCACCGAACAGUGCCCUUCUAAGUUGUGUAGAACUGAACACAGGCGAUUAUGGAAGUCUAGCGGUGUUGGGGAUUUUAGUUCCAGGAACUUGACGAACUGCCUGCAUUCAUGCGAACAAGAUGGCCGCAACCUCGUGGUCGUUCAUGCGAACAGCGGCCACCCUGAUAAACAAUUAGAAAACUGGUGUUAGAAUCGUUACCAAGUGUUAAUAAGGUUUAAAAAGCUCCCGGGUGGUCUGUUCGUGCGGCUGUUCGGGUUUCCGAACCACAUAAUCCCAAUUACACGAACAGAGCCUUUUAAAAGUAUAUUAGUCAAGGUCUAUUGCAGGGGCCAUAGUCCUGAGGCAAGAGACUGGCCAGCAGGCCCCUCCAAGAACCCGUGAUGAGGUUCAGUUCGUCACAACUAUAUUUAUAUAUUUCAGGACACUGAUUCGCCAAUUUCUCUCCAUUUUGGUUUGGCCGAAUCUCUUUCCUCAGAACAACUGCAUGAUGAAAUCCGUCCAAACUGAAAUGCCACAUGCAUGAAUUCCUGAAACCAAAUUUGGUCGAACCAAAUUUUUUUGCUCUGCACAAAUCUAAUUAAUAAGAUCUGCACAAGUUAGAGGUGCAUACCAUGCACUCCAACACCAGACCACUUAUUGUGAGUUUUAAUGCUGAAAAGGUCAAUGUAAAGGAGGAAUCCCCAGAGCUCCAAAGCAGUAAAACUCAAAAUAUUGCGCGCAAGGCAUUUAACCUAAAGAGUUGCUCCAGCAUACUUGUUCUUGUUUGAUUUCCUUUUUCUUUUUGCUGUUCAUAAUAUUGUGCGGUAUGGAUGAGUAUUAAUUAGCUCCAAAGCAAUAUGCUUUGUGUUUUUAUGUGGUGCCUCUGUGUAAGUGUAGUAUAUGCAUCUUUCACCUGCAUUGCCAAAAAUCCUUGCACAGGCCCUAGAGACAGGGAAGGAGCACCAAGGAAGAACCUACUGAGGGUUGAUGUUGAUGUUCAGAUAAGUGUGGUAUGAAAGAGAAGAGAAAUUCCAGACCAUAGUGAUUAAGGGGUGCAUAUUGUGCCAACCAGCUACCCCGUGAUAACUGGACCAGGCUUAGGACUUCAGAGAAAAUACACAAAAAAAGUAGAUUAAGGGCCCCUGUCACAGAUGCCUAAAAGACGCCAUACUAAGCAGCUCCUGUGAAUCUAAUACUUAAGAUAAACCUUCUGCCUCUAUUUACUAUUCCGCGAGUAAGGGGCACGUCUACUUUAAAAUAAAUAAUAAGCCCCCCCCACUCCAAUAAAGUGCCCCAUGGUGAGGAACCUAUUCAAAUGAUUAACGGGGGGGGACAUAGAGUAGGGGCUACUAAAUUAAAAUGGGACCUAGAUUCCCCCUCCCAGCCAUGAGCAGCAGGUGGGGGCCCUGAGUGACAAAAGGGGGGGGGGAUCUACUGCCUCCCCAUCCAUGAGCCUAUUUUCAUUUGUGGAAAGUGUUCCCUCUGACAACAGACCUUAAGACAUGUCUAGUCAGCUCCUAGAAGGGAUUUGUGACAUCAGUCAUUCACUUUUCAUUAGGGAAUAUGAGCCAGGCAUAUUGCCUUUUCUGCUAGGACUUUCAAAUGCUUGCAUAGCAGUGAGGCAUCCUACUGCAGUCUAUUCAAGGCUGAAUUUGAUGGACUUUUUUCAACCUAGAUUGCUAUGUAAUAAAGAAACAUCAUCAUUACAAAGAAGAUAUUCCUGAUCCCAUUAUUUUUGGCCACAUUGUAACUGACUCGAAGACAGCAGACCUGCAUGUUUUAGAUCUGCUGUUCUAACAGCCUCCAUGAGAUUGCUGGAAUCACAGAGAAAUUGUCACAUUUUUCAUGGAGAACAUCCUAGACUUUCCAUAUGGCCUUUGAUUCCUCCUUAGAUGGAAUGAACCAACCUCCCUUUAUAUCCUGUACCUGUUUUAAGAUAGUGACUACAGCAGGGUAGUAGGAGAGUAGAGACCCCAAAGUGUGCACAAAGCACAUCCUGGGCACUAGAGAGGCUAUCAUAAACAAGCAAUAUAGAUAAGUGUGGGUUUGUAGUAAAGGAGUGUGUGUAUGUACCCAAGACUGUAUAAAUAUGUACAAUUUUGUCAUUAAGUGUGUAUGAAAACACCUAUGUACAUGCUAUAAAUGUUAUUUCCAAUAUAUAUAUAUAUAUAUAUAUAUAUAUAUAUAAAUAAAGUAUGUGCCAUAGCAUUCCUGACAGUGUGUGUACGGGAAGGCUGCAUAUGAAAGUGUAAUUUAUGCAUUGUGAAGUUUAUUGAUGCAUUAAAUCUUCCACCCCACCAUCCAAAUACUUCAUCAGUUAUCAGUAGCCUCUAGGUGGGGAGAACAUGAAGAAGAAAUGGUAGCACGAGAGAGACAUUGGCAGAGAACAUUGGAAAUAAGAAGAAUACAUAAAACAUAGGCAGAAAGAGCAAGUAAAAUAGGUAACAGAUAACUCUCUGAUAUGAAACCUUAUAGGAUAGUUGAGCUAUAUAUAUGACAAUAUCUCAUACAGCUGUAUUAUUAGUUUGACGCACUAGAUAGGGUCCCUUAUGUAGUCCUGCAGUCUUUACAUAACGGAAGUAUGGCCUCUCCACACUCUUCUACCCCAUGAUCAUCAGUAAUAAUGAGUUCAGCCAGAGGAGGAAAAGCAAUGCAUUGGGGCCAUAAUGGUUUAGAGGGCCAUUAAAAAGCUAAAGACACUCUGACCUUAGUAAUACACAUAUUUCUGAGGUUAGACGGUUCCUUUAAACUAAAUGAAAUAAAAGGUAUAUUUAAAACACACAACAAAUGUAACUGCAAUGUAUAUCCUGACAAAUGUGUAAAUACGCGGAGUGGCCCUUACACACAGUAUACAAUCAAGUACACUGUAGUCACACACAACUGUGAAGGUGUAGUGUGGAUUGUUUGAUGCUGUUAUGGAACAAAAUAAAAAUUGUUUAUAAAACAAUGAAUUUUGAGUUCACUUAGUGGAAACCAGUAAUGAGUGGCUAUGUUAUUUGUUAUCUGCAUGUUUUGGGAAUAGAUUGCAUACAGUAUAAUCCUUUUCUGUUAUUGUUUUGGCUUUUUGUUCUUUCCUAAUCACAAAGUUAGCUUGUACGUUUUACUUCCAGAUUUGGCAAACAUCCACAUUAUAGGUUAAACAACAACCUUCCAUAGUAAAAGUAAUUUCACAGCUUGCAUCAUGGGUGCACUGUCAUUAAAUUAUAUGUUUGUACCACAGUUCCAAAGAGUCAAAGGCAUUAAAGGGACUCUCAAGCCAGAGUAGUUUACUCACCUGGUUCCAGCGCCGGGAGCCUCGAGAAGCCGCGCCUCCUAUUUAGUCAAAAUGACGAAAUAGGCGAGCGCGAGCAGGGAGCAAUCAGACGCUUCCAUUUGGAAGCGCAAUUGCUCCCUUGUGGGCAUGCGCGGCUUUGCCGCACAUGCGCACAUACUUCAUAGGGCGGCAUUCUGAGCGCACUACCGCGCAUGCGCGCAGUGUGUGCGGCCGCGAGCUGACUGACAGCUCAGCUCGCGGUCUUUGCCCGUCCCCUCUCCUCUGCUGACAGGCAGGAGAGAGAAGGCGCGCACACAGUGCAUUCUCUCUCCUGCACACGUCAGACGUAUCUUAAUACGUCUGACGUGUACAAGGCCUUUUUAGGGCCCUACAUGAUAGGAAGUCCCUCUGGUGGCCGUCUGAGUGACGGCCACUGGAGGUAUUCCUAUCAAUCAAUGUAAACACUGUAUUUUCUCUGAAAAUACAGUGUUUACAUUAGAUUGCCUGCAGGGAGCUAUAGAUCUCACCUCAACAAAUACAUUAAGCUGUAGUUGUUCAGGUGACUAUAGUGUCCCUUUAAUUAGCUCUUUUGUUUUGUUUUGCGUUUAGAUUUGAUAAUGUUGUGUCUCUGCGUGAUGUGAUUUUAAAUAUAUAAUAUGCAAGAGUUUGAUGUAUGGGAGCUGUUGAAUAUUGAUGCAUGCGUACCACAGAAAGAAAAUGUCAAGUAAUAUAAAACUAGAUUAUUGUGAAGACAAGGGAGCCAGAAAUCAAAAAGCUGCUAUAAUAUAUUAAGGUGCAACUACUAGAACUUCCUGUCUCCCUUUCCUGGCAGUUUGUUUAUAUUUGCCCUGAAUUUUGAAAAAAAAUACAUCUUGUACUUUUUAUUAUACAUACCAUUUUGUAGCCAGUUUUCGCCAUGGUAAUCCAUUGUUUCUCCAAAUAAUAUUCUUCAGUCUGCAAAAGAUCGAUACAGUAGACAUGUGUGCUGUUUAUUCAUUUACAAUUUUAUUAAACUUUUUUCUAAGUAUAUUAGUGAAAAUACAGUAGCAUACAGUGAACUUUCAUUUACAGUGUCUUUCAUUUUAUUAAACAGUUGUGACAUGUCAAAGGUCACUGCAAGGUCUGUAAGUAGUGGAGAGUCACAGCACUAUGCAAAGGAAAUACAUAGCAUAAAUGUAAUACCAGCAGUACAGAACAAAAAGGAUAUUAAUACAAAUAAGUUAUAUUCAGUUGAGCCUCUGGGGAGCCUCAAUUCGGUAAAAUAAAGGAACACUCUAAGGUUAGGAUUAUAACAUGUAUACCUAAUGUGAGAGUGAUGAGAUAAUUUCGAUAUUUGCUACUCCAAAUAGUUAAAUUAACCUUUUUACUUACAUUAUUUCCCACAGAAGCAUUGAGGUUCUAGUGCGCAUGCAUGCCAGUCGCUGCAUCAUGCCAAUCGUCAUCUUCGCAUACAGAUGCGUUGCCUUAAUCCAUCUCUGUGGGGAGUGUUUGGUGUUUCCACGUUGAGUGGGAUUGAAAGCCCCUUUGAGUGACAGCCACUAAGAGGUGGCAUUAGGCAGCAAUGUUAAUGCAUUGUUUUUUCAGUGUUUACACUACAUGCACCGUCUCCUUGUCCUAGACCCACAACAUUAAGAUGCAGUGGUUCUGGAGCUUAGAGUGUCCCUUUAACCCCUGAAGGACCAAACUUCUGGAAUAAAAGGGAAUCUUGACAUGUCACACAUGUCAUGUGUCCUUAAGGGGUUAAAGGCCACAGGGUACAUGAUGUUGCAAAGUGAAAGAUGGACAAAAUACAUGUCAUUAGUUUUCCGAUGUACAAACAUGUAUUCCUGACCCUAUAGUGUGAAAACCACCAUCUAGCUCCCCUCCCUCCUCCUCCCCUUGCCUCCCUAAAUAUGUAUUUAAGUCUGCAGCUUCUGGCUCUGCCCCUGUUUGCCUGUGAACGGCCUCUGUCUGCUGACAUCAUCAGAUGUGGUGGUCUGAGCCAAUUACAGUGCUUCCCCAUAGGAUUAGCUGAGACUGACAAAGAGGCAGAUCAGGGGCAGAGCCAGCACUGCAUUUUCUCUGAAAAUACAUUGUUUACAGCAAGGGAAUGAUUCUAAGCACCAGAACAAAUGCAAUAAGCUAUAGUUGUUCUGGUGACUAUAGUAUCCCUUUAAUAUAUGUUUUUUUUUUGUUUUUUUUAGCUUUAAUAGCAUUUACUAAGGUGUGAGGACGAGGAAUUAUCACUACCAGAUAAGCAACAUUUUUUUAAUACAAUUCGAUUUUUCGAAAGAGUAAAAGUUGUUUUACAAUGCACAUAAUAUUAAAGGGACAUUCUUAGGACCAAAAGUAAUUUAGCUUAAUGCACUGGUUUUAGCAUGUUGAUCAUGGGACUGCAAUUUUUACUGCUCAUUUUUCUAUCAUUUAGGAUUUAAGUCACUGUCCUAAUGCAGUCCUAGUCACAUUUUCCUUUCCUGUGACUUACACAGUCUCCCUACACACUUACUGUAAAGGGAGAUCUAAUGUUUAAACUUCCUUCGUGGCACAAUUUGUUUAAUUCAGAAUUUGUUUUAUUGCCUUCUAGAGUCUGCAACAGCCUCAUGUUUGUGAUUAAAGCUCAAUUAACAGAGCAGAAGGUAGAAACUAGUGACCAGGCCGUUUUUCAAUUUUCUUACCGUUUGGAACAAGGGCUGUUUUUAAAUUUCUGCUGUGUUUGUGUUUAGCUGUAAUUUUCCUCUUACUCAUUUACUGCACCCACACAUAUUAUAUACCGUUUUUCUCACCAUUAAAUGGUCUUUCUACAGAUAUGAUUAUUUUCAUCAUAUUAUAUCAUUUACUAUAAAAUUAUAAAAUAUGAUGAAAAAAUGUAAAAAAAUUCUAACUUUGACCCCCAAAAUCUGUUAUGCAUAUACAACUGCCAAAAAACACCAGUGCUAAAUAGUUUCUAAAUUUUUCCUGAGUUUAGAAAUACACAAUGUUAACAUGUUCUUAGCUUUUUUGGAAAGUUAUAGGGCUAUAAGUACAAGUAGGACAUUGCUGUUUCAAAAUAUAUAUUUUAAAAAUAUUUAGAGAGGGCGGAGCCUGACUGCCAACCAAGAUGGCCGCGUGUUAGAGAGGCUCCGCGACGGCAGACAAACUAACAGCUAUAAUCAGCGGCACUGGAGUCACUACAGCUCUAACAGCAUGGGUAGACACCUCACAACUCCCCAGCACUAUGGGAGGUGGACGGAAAACGAAGUCCGGACCCCAAUAUUCCGGACCUGGAGGACAAAGAGCAGCCGCGUGCAGAAAGCCAUCAGGCCUCGGACUCAGAAUCCGAGGACAGCACACACAGCCACGAGACUGAAUCCUCCCCUCUAACUAAACGGGACCUCAGAAACAUGCUCCACGACAUGAAAUCCCUGGUGGCUGCAGAACUCACGAAGCACCUGGCCCCCAUUAAAGAAGGCCUAGCUCUCAAAGACCUCAGAGAACAGAUAGCUCUUCUAGAAGAAGCACAGGAAGACCUCAACAAUAGAUCCAUACGUAACAACAUCCGUAUAAGGGGUCUCUCUGAAACUUACACACAGGACACUCUCACUGCCACGCUACAUGAAGCCUUUAGCAGCUUGCUCCCUGAUGCACCACCGACAGAGCUGCUCCUGGACAGGGCACACCGAGCUCUCCGUCCUCCGGCUGCUAACCCCACACAGCCCAGGGACAUAAUACUACACUGCCACUACUUCCAUACCAAAGAGGCGAUCAUGAGAGCGGUGAGGGAGACCCCCCUCCAAAUCGAGGGCCACACGGUCCAACUGUACCAGGACCUAGCGCCCACAACCCUCCGCAAGCGACGAGAGCUACGGCCACUGACCCAAGCCUUACAACAGAGAAGAAUACGAUACUCCUGGGGCCAUCCGUUUAAACUCAUGUUUCGACAUGACAACCAAACUUUCACCCUAACCAGACCGUCAGAAGCACAGAAUUUCGCCUCCCACCUGGGCCUGAAUGACCUGCAAUUAAAUUUGCCUGCUAGUUCCCAGACCGCUGCACCCCAAUGCGGCACGUCGGAGCCACUGCACACAGGCCACCACAGACACUCCAGGAGACAACGGCCUACCCAACUGCAAGCCCCUCACGCCUAACUGAUGCCCCCUCGCAAUCACUCUGAGCACCGCUAAUGCAAGUUCCUGCUGCCCUGGUGUGGACCUGGCCCCCGACCACCCGAGUGCCUUCUUACGGUGAUCCACGUAAGAGACACAGCUGCUCCUUUGCACACCGGGUCCCAAGAUUCUCUCCAGAACACACACUAACUACCAGACCUUUGCGACCUCACAGCCGCAAGGCCGACGUGAAACCAACUACGUAACGUAUACUAUAACUGUAUGAUAUACCCCUACCCUCAUGUGCGGGCAGACCCAAGCGGUACAUGUGGCAGACUACCCUAGAGGGGCCACCCCGCACUAGGUCAGCGGGGGAUGUACAGCCAUGCUCGACUUUGAAGCAUAUAUAUUUUAUUUCCUUACUGUUCGAAUAUCCACUAAAAGUCUCACCCGAUGGCCACACUGUGGCUGCCCUCGGGGCUCCUCCUUGCCCCGCUGCCUGGCGCGGGGGAACGGGGGCCCUGACCAAGCGGCUGCGGUGGUCACAUUGCCCCCCAUUGUGCUUAUGCCUCAUGGCUUUACUGUACUAACACUCACCGAAAUGUGUUGCCUCAUGCAUCGCACUGCGGUCGCCCUUGGGGCGGGGGGGUGCCCUGACUGCGCAGCCGCGACGGUGACAUUGUGCCCUAGUGUACUGAUGCUUCGUAACUUUAUUGCCUUCACACUUGUUGAAAUGUGUUGCACCCUAUUGUACUGAUGCCUCCUUGCCUCACUGUCUUGACACUCACCAAGAUGUACUGCCUUCUUAAUCAUACUGCGGUUGCCCUUGGGGUGCACCCUCCCCCGCCUCCCGGUGGGGGACGGGGCGUCCUGACGGCACAAUCGCGACGGUUUCAUUGUGCUCUGUUGUACUGAUAUUGCAUAGCUUUAUUGCCCUGACACUCACUGAAAUGUGUUUUGUUUUAAUGUACUGAAGCCCUAUUGCCAUACCGUUUUGACAUUUCCUAAGGUGUGAUGCCCUACUUACAAUACUGUGGCCGACCUCGGGGGCGCCCCCCCCCGUGAGCCAUCAGUGCUGGUACCUUACCCACCACAAUGAUUGCCGCGUCCAAUUCACAGGCCUGCCGUCGCCUCUCUGCUAGUCAGCCUCUAUCCUCAUAUCACCUGAUUCUUGUCACCGGUCUCCCAGCCUUAAAACCAGAGAGGCCGUGGACACCACAGUUCCCCCCUGCUGGCUCUGGAGAUAAGCCCAGCGAUCACCCCUACUGCUCUACCGUCCACCCAAUCCCUUCCGCUCGCCCGAGCCCACCGGAACCCCCUUUGACUUCCCCUCCAGCCCCCCACCCCCAACCUACCCCGACGUCUUAGACUCCCCCCAACCUCAGACUACACUGAGUCUCCAUUAACGCCAAGGGCCUCAACAACCCUAAAAAAAGACACUCCCUCCUACGAUGGGCCCACAAUCAAAAGGCUGACAUCCUCCUCAUUCAGGAAACCCAUUUCUCAACUGCUAGACAGUUCCCAUGAAGAAACCGACACUACACUCGUUCAUUUUUAGCAAACUCCCCGACUACAAAAACUAAGGGGGUGGCCAUUCUCCUCAAAGGUACAUAACGAUAACAAGUAGAAUCGGCCCCACCUCCUACUCCUUUACUUCACUAUAUGCCCCCACAACAGCAGACCAACAAUUCUGGACUACAAUCUCCGCUCACCUAGCAUCUCACCCGACAACUUACAGCGACAUUGGUGGUGACUGUAACGCAACCGACACACCAACCCAAGACCGCACAGCCAGGCCAACAGGCGGGUGCCGCCCUUCCACCAAUGACACGCUGUUCUCCCAAUUCCUCAACACACACAACCUCCUAGACGUCUGGAGGGCACAACACCCCUCUAUCCUGGACUACACCUUCUACUCACAUCCCCACAACACAUAUUCCCGUAUCGACUACUUCCUCAUCUCCCCCAACCUUAUACCCACAAUAACACACUCCUCCAUAGGCAACAUCACCUGGUCAGACCACGCCGACAUAUCCCUCACCCUCACAAUCCCCAGCAUGACCAGACCAUGGACAUGGAGACUAAACCCACAACUACUCCAUGACCCACUCGUGACUACUUCCCUGGCAAAGGAUAUAUCAGAAUACUUUUCCCUGAACGACCCGUCAGUCCCCUCCCUGAUCAUGUCCUGGGCUGCCCAUAAAACGGUUAUAAAAGGCAAACUGAUCACCAUAGCAGCGGCACGCAAAAAACAAGCCACUAGACCAGGCAUAGGCAACCUUCGGCACUCCAGAUGUUUUGGACUACACCUCCCAUGAUGUUUUGCCAGCAUUAAAGAUGUAAGAGCAUUAUGGGGGAUAUAGUCCACAACAUCUCGAUUGCCGAAGGUUGCCUAUCCCUGCACUAGACAAAUCAUGGACACCAUGACCAACAUCAGCUGACUUGAAGCCCUCCAUAAAACUGACCUCACCCCCGCCCACCUACAACAACUCACAGCAGCCCAAACCCUGCUCAAGAGACUAUCCCUAUCAGCGACAACUAAGGCGCUAGCCUGGAUCAAACAAAAAUUCUAUGAGAAGGGUAAUAAAGCAGACUCCAUGCUGGCCAAAUGCCUCAAAGCACUCACAGAAACAAAGCAAAUCUCCCGCAUUCGAACCCCAGACGGCUCCGUGAGCGACAUCCCACACAAAAUCGGGGAAACGUUUCAACAAUACUUCACCUCCCUGUACAAUCACACCCCGGACCCUCCCUCGGAACAGAUCAACUCCCUGACUGAAGACUUCCUAAACAAACUCUCCUUAACCUCCCUCACUGAAAAUGCAAGAUCAAUGGUCUCUGCAGAGGUCACCCCUGAGGAGCUCUCUGCGGCCAUCAAGACCUUAAAACCCAACAAAAGCCUGGGCCCAGACGGCCUGACGGCUAUUUACUAUAAAUCCUUCGGGAAACUACUCGUCCCCAAACUCUGCUCAGUCUUCAACGCUAUGCUCAAGGGAGACCCACUACCGCCCGACAUGACUCGAGCCAACAUCACCCUAAUCCCGAAACCCGGUAAAUCCCACUACCGCCCCAUCUCACUAUUAAACAUAGACUUGAAAAUCAUGACCAAAGUUAUGACCACCAGACUGAACGUCCUUCAGGGAAACUAAUAAAACCAGACCAGGUUGGCUUUAUACCGAACAGACAAGCCCAGGACAACACCACAAGGACAAUAGACCUAACAUGGCUGACCAACCAUAGACAAAUCCCCAUGGUCUUUGUCUCCGUAGACGCCAAGAAGGUGUUUGAUCGCCUUCUGUGGCCCUUCCUCUUCUCAACCCUCUGUAAAUUCGGCUUCCCACAUGAACUCACCCAGUUUAUACAGGCGAUGUACCACAACCCAACGGCCCAACUUCUGAUACCCAACAUUAAUCUCCCCUCCUUCCCCAUUCUCAAUGGUACCCAACAGGGAUGCCCUCUCUCCCCCCUCUUUGCCUUAUCCCUCCAACCCCUCCUGGAAUCCAUAUGAACGCGCCCAGACGUCACAGGGCUCACUGCCCAUAAUGAAACAUUCACCGUCGCGGCAUACUCCUCACCCUGACGAAUCCUGAACACGCCCUCAAUGCUAACACUCAUCAAGGAAUACUCCACGAUCUCGGGCUACAAGCUCAACGCCACUAAAUCAGCCCUCCUACCCCUCACAUCCCGACACCCACCCCAGCCUCCCUGAAGCGAAAAUUCCCUUUCUGCAUCUACCCCACAGCAAUCACCUACCUGGGAAUACAGCUCACUGCGGAUGUAGCCUCCCUAUACAACGCCAACUACACCCGCCUAUACCGCAAAGCACACACCGACCCCCAACGCUGGAAACCCAUGAGCAUCUCCUGGCUAGGAAGAAUAGCCUCAGUAAAAAUGAACCUUCUCCCUAAAUUUCUUUAAGCCCUACCCAUCCCCUGCAACAAGACAGACCUAAGAACCCUACAAACCGCCAUAGACCGCUUCAUUUGGAAUGACCGCAAACCCAGAGUAUAUCGAUCGAUUCUAUAUAUCCCUAAACACUCAGGCGGCCUAGGACUCCCCAACCUACUGCAUUACCAACAUGCGGCCCACCUAGCACAAAUCCAACACUCGCACCUCCCUCCUGACCAUAAAAGUUGGGUUGACUUAGAACACCUCAUAUUCGGUCGAGACCACCCCUCCCUUUACAUAUGGCUUCCGAAACAGCAUAGACCAUUGCACCCCCCAACCUCCCCUGCGAUUACCUACUCCAUAGACAUCUGGGACCGCCUUAGCGACAAAUUUGACCUCUCCUCGGGCCUAUACCCCCUCAUUCCCAUUCUCCGCAACCGAUUGUUCCCUCCGGGACUUUCACCACAACACUUUGCCCACUUUGAGGAAAGGGAUAUCGCCCGGCUUGAUCACCUAUACCCAAAUGGCAAACUUCUCCAAUACACAGACAUCCCCCACACCUCCACCCUGACAACUUUUGACCACUUCAAGUUUCUUCAGCUCUGCAGCUUUGCGGCAUCCGAUGCUGUACUCUGGGCAGCCACAUCCCCCCUCACGACUUUGAAUGUGACUGCAAACGCUCCCCGACACGUAAGAGCCAAAUAUCUGAAUUAUACAUGACCCUCACCACGCAUUACACCCAAAUCUCCCUACCAAAUAUCACAGCCUGGGAGAAAGACCUGGGCCCCCCUGACAACCCCACAGACUGGACAAACAUCUGGGCAGCCAUCAAGUCGAUCUCCAUAUGUGUAACCCACCAAGAACAAGCGUACAAGAUGCUGUUCAGAUGGUACCUCACCCCAACCCGACUUGCAGCAAUGAAACAAAUCCCCACUAGCAACUGCUGGAAACUGUGCGGGGAAACAGGCACGUUCCUCCACUGUUGGUGGACAUGCCCGAAACUAAAACCCCUCUGGCAAAGCGUCACAAACUUAUUGACACACAUACUCUCCAGACCAGUACCCAUGGACCCCUGGGCCCAACUUCUCUCCAAACCUAUCGACACAUUCACUUGAAAUGAAAAACUGAUAGCUAGGGUCGCCCUAGCCACACGUAGAGCCAUAGCAGAAGUCUGGUUCUCUCCUCACAUCCCAACCCAAUCCCAAAUUCACACCAAAAUAAGCGACGGCACUGACAUGGACAAACUGACGGCACAAAUACACGACAUCCCGAAGACGUUCCAUAAAAUAUGGGACCCAUGGCUGGAUGCAGACACCAUCCCCCCUGGUAAACCAACCCGGCCCUCAAACACAUGCACCAUGUCGCUGAUCAUGCUAACCCUACAGACACUGUGACAGCCCUCCAUCCUACCCCCACCCUGCCAUCCUCACCCCAUCCCAGGCACGCCUAAGGAGAUCCUCUACCCGGGUUCUCCACCAAGGCACAUCCCCCCUUUAAAGUAACCCCACUACCAAACAUUGGAACUCAGCACUUGCCUGGUACCAACUCUCCCUCUCAGCCCAACUCUAACGACAGCACCACCCAUUUUGAAAGGGAUAUGAUAAACGGGCAUAACUCUCUCACCAACAGAGAGUCCCCAACCGUAGACCAGACCAAGCACCAUCAACAAAACCAAGAUGGUCCAAUGUAUACCUCAUGUACCAAGUUAACCUAUGUUCAAUUGAAUGUUACUCUUUGAUGUUACAACUUUUUGUUUCAACCUAACAUUCUUUCUGUACGAAUGUCUUAUUGAAAAAUCCAUAAAUAAAGAAUCUUUAAAAUAAAAAAAAUGUAUCAAUAGUGACAUUGUAACACUCUUAUCUGUCAUAAAUCUCUGAAUCACACCUCACAUAUAAAAUUUUUUUUAAAGUAGACAACCCAGGGUAUUCAAUUUGGGGUAUGUCCAGUCUUUUUAGUAGCCACUAAACACUGGCCAAAGUUAGCAUUUAUAUUUGUUUGUGUGUUAAAAAUGCAAAAAAAACAAUUAUAACUUUGGCCAGUGUUUGUGACUAAGUGGCUACUAAUUCUCAUUCCUGGGCUACCAUACGCUCUCAAAGGCAACAUAACCAAUCUGGAAAAUUUCAAUGUGAAAAAAUGGAAAAUCAAGCCUUAUAUUUGACCCUGUAACUAUCAAAAACACUAUAAAACCUGUACACGGGGGUACGGUUAUACUCAGGAGACUUCGCUGAACACAAAUAUCAGUGUUUCAAAACAGUAAAACAUAUGACAACAAUGAUAUCAUCAGUAAAAGUGCCGAUAUUGAUUUUUUCGAGCCAAUACCAAUAAUCUGUGAACUUUACAGCCGAUAGCCGAUAACUUACCGAUACUCUGUACAUCUACAAAUUUUUUAAAAAUAAACUAUUUCUACACAAAUAUACUGUUAACUGAACAUGUUUAUUAUUUAUUAAAUUUUUUUGCAAAUCUUUUUUUUAAUUAAGGUAAAUGCACAAAAUAUACAUGCCAGUUAGGAUUUUUUAGGUUUUCAAGAAUAUAUGUGUGUGUAGUGGAUGCAGUGAGAGUAUUUGAUUAGUGAAUGUAAUGUGUGUGUGUUUGUGUAGUAGAUGCAGUGUAUGUUUGUGUAGUGUGUGUUUAGUGAAUGCAGUGUGUGUUUGUAUAGUGUGUAUAUAAUGAAUGCAAAAUGUGUGUUUGUGUAGUGUGUGUAUAGUGAAUGCAGUGAAUGUUUGUGUAGUGUGUAUAUAAUGAAUGCAGAGUGUGUUUGUGUAGUGUGUGUAUAGUGAAUGCAGUGUGUUUGUGUAGUGUGUGUAUAGUGAAUUCAGUGUGUUUGUGUAGUGUGUAUAUAAUGAAUGCAGAGUGUGUGUGUUUGUGUAGUGUGUGUAUAGUGAAUGCAGUGUGUUUGUGUAGUAUUAUUAUUAUCAUUUAUAUAGCGCCAACAGAUUCCGUAGCGCUUUACAAUAUUUGUGUAUAUAAUGAAUGCAGAGUGUUUGAGUAGUGUGUGUUUAGUGAAUGCAGUGUGUAGUGUGUGUAUAGUGAAUGCAGUGUGUUUGUGUAGUGGGUGUUUGUGUAGGUAUGUAACGUGUGUAGAAUUGGGGGCGUGGGGGGUCAUUUUUAUUUUUUUUAACUUUUAAAAAAAUCUUUUUUAUUUUUUUUAACAUUUUGUUUUAGCCCCCCCUUCCCUGCUUCUUACCUGGCCAGUGAGGGGGGAUAUGGCAUUCCAAGAGGGGCCUGCAGUGGUCCUAGGGAGCCCAGCUCACUCUUACUACCCUUCCCAGCAGCUCGCUUCAGCUACCCUGUCUAACUCUCUCGCGGGGAGUUGCCAUGGUAACCCGUGGGAACACUCUGAUGGCCGUGGGACUCGCGAGAGUUAAACAGGGGAGAUGAAGGGAGCUGCUGGGAAGGUAAGUAAGAGUGUUCUGGGCCACUCAUGACCGCUGUGUGCCCUCCAGUACCCAGCCCUGGUUUGCAUUAUUGGCAAUAUCGGUAUCUCUAUUGGACGAUACCGAUAUUGCUGAAAAUACAGAAUAUCAGCUGAUAAUAUCUACCAGACCGAUAAUCGGUCGAUCCCUACAUAGUAUGACGUUAUAUAUAAGAUAUACACUGAACAAAAUUAUAAAUGCAACACUUGUUUUUGCCCCCAUUUUUCAUGAGCUGAACUAAAAAUUUGUAUUGUGGCCAGCCUAAGGCACAGCUGUGCAAUAAUCAUGCUGUCUAAUCAGCAUCUUGAUAUGCCACACCUGUGAGUGCUCACUAAUACAGAUUUAGACAGAUUUGUGAACAAUAUUUGAGAGAAAUAGACUUUUGUGUACAUAGAAAAAGUCUUAGAUCUUUGAGUACAGCUCAUGAAAAAUGGAGGCAGAAACAAAAGUGUUGCAUUUAUAAUUUUGUUCAGUGUAUAAUAUUUUUUUCCUUUACUAAACAUUUUUUAUUUAAUUUUUUCACCAUCAGUGGGACUGCUUGUCAGUUCAGGCAGUCCCCCUGCAGGCAGCACUGUGGACGCCUAUUGUGGCCAUGUGACCGCUCUUCAGUUUGCCGAGGGGGGACUGUCUGGGCUGUCAGAGAGGAACACCAGACAGAGAGGAACACCGAUCGCCGGCGGGGGAACGGCAGCAAUCGGUUAAAUACUAAGAAUAAGUACGUCCGUGGUCAAGAAAGGGUUAACUCCUAAAAGAAAAAUUAGCAGUAAAAUUGCAGAGUCAUGAUCUAUACACAAAGACUGCUUCAUUAGACUAAUAUUGUUUUGAUGCUUAGAGUAACCCUUGCCACAAUGUUGCAAUUUUUUUUAUUUAUUUUUUUAUUUAGGAAAUUCGAAUUGAUAAACUAUGUAAUAUCUCAAAAAAUAUUUGCCCUUUGCUUUAUUUUACAGGUGAAUUAACUAGGUGUUUGGCCCAAAAUUAACAUGCCAGAUCUAUCGAUUUACGUUGAUAAUAAGGUUAUUUAUGUGUCCUUCAUAAUAAAAGGUUCACAUGUUUUUAAGUAACCAGUUUGAGCCAGGGCUAUCUGGCGUACUCAUGUGUUAAGCUUGCUGAUUAAAUUUAUUUUCAUUGUGGCAUAAACAAAUCUUAGUAGUGUGAUCAAUGCUCAUACUCAGAUGAAAACACAGUGUGUUUCUUUAGAUAGUCCCCAUGUUUUGUUGGAUUGAAAGAAAUAUUGAAUGUAACUCAUUCAGCUGUAAUAAUGAAGAAUACAUGUUUUGGUGUUUCUGUGUAAAUACUGGACUGUUUUGGUUUUAUGUAGAGCGCUGUGACCGGUUCUUGUAUGUGCAAUCUGGCAGGGCACAAGGAAUAAGCAAAGUUAAUGGGUCAAGUAGAUCACAUGAAUAAAAAACAGGAUACUAUAAUUUUGCCACUUUUAAAGAGUAGGCACAAUUUUUUAACUAUAUGAUUUAAUUAUUACACUAAAACUUCCAUCACCCAUAAGCAAAUUCUGUCUGCCUGGAAUUUUUGGGAAUGGUGAUACAGUAACAUCUGAAUAGAUGCUUUCAUUUCUUGAAAUAGUGCAUCUGUGUAGGCUCAUAAAUUACGUAAAACAUAUUUUUUGUUGUUGUUGAAAUUGCAUGUACCGUAAUUCCUUUUCAGAGUAUUUUCCUCAAUGGCCACUGUCACGUUUUGGAACUGACUCAGGUUCCCAUUUAUAUUGGCUGGUUAGGGCAGUGGUAAUUAGACGUGCAAUUUGUUUGGACCAAAUCAAAGUUAGUCCAAUUCUUCAAAUCAGCUGCGUUCGAAUUUCUGAAUCGCCACAACAACAAAACAGAAUGAAACAAAUGUCACUGAACCAAAACGUUUUGGAUCCAUUUGCUUUUAUUUGACUGGCUGAAAAGUAGUAAACAUGGGAACGUAGUGUGGACCAAUAAAAUCAUUCAUUUUAUGGCAAGACUUGCUUAAACCUUCUUUACUGAACCUCACAGCAGCAAAGAAACAGUAAAAAAUGUACACACAAAAAAUCAACCAAUCAGAAUUCAUAUCAGGAGCAUAUAGUAUAGUGAGACUCCUCCCAACUCCUAUUUCUUUGCUGUUUGCCUCUCACAUGAGUAUUCUAAUUACAGUCCUAGUUUUGAUAUAGUCGGAUGUGCUACUGUGAUUUGAUGCAUCUUAUACUUUUCUUUUGGAAAUUUCUUUACUCAUAUUAAAGUUUUUUUUAGACCUUUCAUGCAAAUUUGUCCCCAUUCCUUUGACUUUCUAAGUCAGUCCCUCUUUAUUAUGCCUCUUUGCUGUCUGUUUCAACAUUUUUUCUUGUUAUGUUUCCUGUAAGCUUUUUAUCACCACCAGUCUGGUCAGUGUUUAUACACUGCUCUUCCUCUCGGCAGCUGUGGUUCACUUUGCUACCUCUCACUAGGAACUUCAGGUUUUGGAUGAGUAUUGCGCUGGCUAUUCGGAUGAGGAUUUUCCUACGAAUAUGCAACAAGAUCCCGCUUACUCCGAAUUCAUUAAGGUUCCAUCCCAACAUGCUUUUUUUAGACACUAAUUCUCUCAAAGCACAAGAUUAGACCUCUGACAUCCUAAUGGUCACCACCUAUUUGACUGUAAAACUAUUAGGCACUCUUGCUCAGAGAUCACAUUGCUAUUUAUUGCAGGAUGUGGCUUUGUAAGCCACUAGAUAAAGAGAUUUUGGCUAAAUUGAGAGAAAAAUACCCCCGGCCUACUAUUUCGGAUAAUGCGGUUGACCUAUUGCUGGUCACCAUCCUUAGCAAAGACCCAAAUAAAGGCCUAGAACAAGGCUUAAAGACCACUCAAAACAAACUUUUAGAUAUUGCAGGACCACUGAUUCAGAUUUUCAUUCUUGCAGAUGAGGCACUGUCAGGUGGGACUUUUGGAUACUGCUUGGGGACUCCUAAUUAAUUCAUGGGCCCCGGGGCUAGAAGCUCCUAUCUCUCCGCAUGGUGGAUCUAGUGUGUGGAAAGAUACAUUAUUAAUCCCUUUUCGGCCUCUUUAACUCACAUUAUGAUUUUUUUUAUCUUCACUCUACGAGCAAGAAAAAUCUUAGCAGUCUAGCAAUGCCUUUUGGUCUUUUACCUCAGCGGCACACGUUCCGGUGGAUGAUUCCUCUGUGGGUAACCACCCAUCCAUCUGUAAGCUCUUACGUGGCAUCUGUUUGGCCAGACAUCCAGCUCCUAAAUAUUUCUACUUUUGGUACAUUGCACAGGAUGUUUUUUUUAUGCCGCUUUUUCCCUACGGCACCUUUGAGCUAAAUUAGCUAAAUUACUUUGAUUUUCUUAGAAGAGUCUCCGACAUUCAAGCUUUCGACUUUCAUGCUAUUGUCUUUGUCCCAGAGCUUGUGCUUUUUCCCCAUUAAUCGAUAUACCAAAGCGAAUUAAUCCUUGUGGUUUUUACCUUUAUUUUCCAGAGAGACCCUCUCUCUGUGUAGCUUGCUGUGUCCAGCAAUACAUUACUAAUACGACCCCUCUUAAUGCACCUUCAGGGCCCCCUUUUAUUUCUUAUGUUAACCUCACAAACCGGUUUCUUGCCCUACGAUAGCUCACUGGAUUAGAUUGAUUCUCACUAUGGUAGGAAUUGAUUCCUCUUUUGGAUGUCACUCCAUCAGAGGCACAUCUUCCUCUUCUGCCUUAGUUGUGGGCAGCUCCCUCUCUGACAUUCUGUCCUCUGCGGAUUGGUUGAGUAGUUUAUUUUAUUGACCUACUUCAGACCUUCGUCUCAUGCAUCUUUUUAUUUAGUUUCCGAGCGGUAAAACAGCAAAUAUGAAGCUUCCUGUCUUGCCAUAAAAUUAGGAGCUGGCAAAGGCUGGUGGCCAGUCAGUGCACUUCACAAUCGACUUAUAAAGUGCUCCUUAUAGUGAACAUCCCUUGUGAUUUACAAGACGUUAGUGGCAGUUCCUGAUAAAUGUAACUAGUUCAGGGGCAGGGAGCUCAACCACGGCAGUCAGUGCUUCAGUAGGCAAGCAGCAGCUUUCCUUUCUCCACCAUGCUGAUGUGAUGGACAGGUAGUUACUAAAAAAGAUGGUGGCACAGUGGCAAGGAGGCACAAAUGGUGACUGACAAUGCAGAAAAUAUGAUCAAGGCUCUUAAUGAUGGCUGAUUUGUCGAUGUGCGCUGCUUAGCUAAUGUCCUUCAUCUGGUGGUGAAGGCUGCAAUUGGUAAGGAAACAACUGGUUGGUUGGCAACCAUUCUUGAGUCUUGUAGGAAGAUUGCUGGCCACAUUCAACAUAGUGUUAAGGACAGCCAGAUCCUGAGAGCAGAGAAAGUCAGGCAUUGAACAGUACUAUCUCUAACAAGACAUAGGGACUUUGGAGAUACUGGAUCACAUUCUGGGAUCAUUAGGCACAGAAGAUUGGUCAAUGUUUGAUGGAUGGUUUUAUUUUAAAUCGGGAAGUAGUACCUGUUGGCCAACUACUUGAGGAUGUUGGUGCACUUGUCAGGAGGCUCAAUGAGAAACGGAUGCAUCAGUUCAAUGAGAUGUUACUCCACAAAAAUUCCCUGACAGGCGGGAGGGAUACAUUGACUGACCAAGUGCUUGAUAUGCAUAGGAAGAGAUUUGUGUUACUUGAGGGAGAAGAAGAGCUGGAGGAGCCUGAUAUCGUGGCACCGACACUUUGCAGCAUCAGCACUGCUCAAUUCACUGGAGCCGGCACUGCUCAAUCCACUGGAGCAGCUGCUUUAUAAACUGAAGCCCUGGAUAGUUUGAUGUGACCCACUUAACUUUCCUCCAGGAAAAGUAGAUCUGCAGAGAUUUUGAAGCCUUACCUUGGCAAACCUUCUUUGUCCCCUGCGGCAACACUCAGAUCUCGCGAGAGGAACCCGGCGGAGCUGCUGGUUGAGCUCCGCGGGUCCUCUCCUGCCUCCCUCCAUGCUGCAGUGGGGAGGGAGGCUGAGAGCAGAGCCAGUGCUCGGAUAGCGCCGGCUCUGCAUGAGCCGACAGGGGAGAUCCUGAGAUCUCCCCUGCCGGUCUCACUCCAUAGGCGUGCCGGGGGAUUAGGGUGUGCCCAGGCACACCCGGCACACCCCGUGCGCACGCCUAUGGUCACACCAUGGACAGAGCAUUAGGGGGCAGAAAAUCUUUUUUUUGCCUAGAGCAUCAAAAAUCCUUGAUCUGGCUGUAUGUUUAUUCACCUAAGGGUUUAUAUCAACUGCUAAUUUUGCCACCUUCAUUAAUUAUCCAUUUGGAAUAAUGGGCAUUUGAAUUUCGGAAAUUAGCAAAACUUUUAAAAAACUUUGGUUGAACCGAAAUGCGAAAACUAAAAAAAACAACUAAACAAAACUUUUUCCCAUGAACAUUUCUAGUGGUCACUUCCUAAGAAUUUGAAAACCCAUUUUCCAAUCUCCAUUCGACCACCUUACCAGUAAGUGCUCCUACUAGCAAUACAUACCUUAUAGAUUGUAAGCUUUUUUUGAGCAUGGCCUUCCUUUCCUCCCCGUUCUAUUAUUGUAAAGUGCAGCAGAAUAUGUUGACCUUACAGAAAUUAUAAUCUUAAACAUGGUAAUGCUGUAUAUAAUGUGUUGUAUAUGAGGAUCAGUUAGGAUGAAAAAGACUGAUGGUAUGGGGAAAAAGAGGCUGUCAGAAAUAUAGUGGACUUGAGUCCAUACUCUAAGGCAGGGGUAGGCAACCUAUGGCACGUGUGCCAUGCACGUCACUCGCGGUAUCUUUGCACGGCACUCAAUGCUGCUAGAGCCAAACAGGCUUCUCUGGCCUUUCAGGAGUCCCAGUGGAACUUCAGAUAUUUGCUAAUGAGAAAAGGUGGUGAAGGACAAUCCUCAUUUUAUGCAUUGCAGUACUUGUAAAUGGGAAUCCACACUGGAGUAGAGCAGCCUGUAGCAGCCAUCACAGUUCCUGCCCUUGAUCUGUACAUGGCCAGCACGGUCCCUACUGGACCCCAGGGAAGUAUCCCCUCAUACAAAUAAUACAAACAGCUCACACACAAACACAACACUACUAACAAACUAAAUACACGCACACAACCCCACAAGCAGCCUCUCACAUGCAAUAACCCAAGCAGCCCCACGCAUACACACCCCACCAAACACACAAUGUGAUAUAUCAUCCACAAACACAAUUCCAUAAGCAGCCCCCAUAGACAGUCGACAUUCAUAGGUAUCAUACACAAUACCACAAACUACUCAUGAAUAUAUACACUAUAACAGCUCAUAUGCACACAAAUACAAUGAUAUAAACAGCUGCAGUAUAAAUAACAAAAGCAGAAUACGGCAACAUAUACACCUCAUUUAAAAAAAUUUAGGACCGGCUUCACAAUCUUAGUUUGGCACAGUACUGAGCGGAAUAAAAUGCCUGUGGCAAUACUGCAUCUUUGAAUCUUGAAUAAUAGUCUGUGCAUCAGAAGGAACCAUAGUGGUUUAUGCAUUUAAAUGAGAAUUGCAAAGUUUAGUUCUAAAAAGCCAGAUUGAAAACAAUUUCCCAAGACAGCUAGUUUUCCAGUAUGAAUAUUUCUAGCUUAAAUGUUGCAGUUCUCUCAGUUUCUCCCAAUUCUGAGUUCAAGUUAAAGUUCCCCUUUGACCACAGAUCCCAUACUAUUAUGUCAUAAUCCAUUUUAUUACUGUAUCACUUACUUUAUUACCUUAAAAAGUGGGACUUCUGUUUAAUAAAUUUAGUAUGGGCGAAAUUUUUUAAUUAGUCUUGAUGUAUCAUUAAAUAUAUACACACUGCUAUAAACAGUGUGUCCAACCCAUAAUUCAGAGCCGCUAGCACAUGGACAUUUUAAUUAUAAGGCAACAUUUUUAUUUUAGUUUAUGGUUGCAAGUUAUGUUUCAGUGAAUCAGAGAAUGUUUAGAUAUAACAAAAACACCCAUAAAUUACAAGUAAUUGUUAUUUAUCUUCACAAAAGUAGCUGUUAUUUUGCAACAACCAUUGGAAUUUUCCUUAAACUUAUUAAAUCACUUUUUGUUCCAUAAUAAAACACCUGAAAAUAAUCGGCUCUAAUUGGUUGUUUAACCCCUUCAGGACGGAGUCAAUUGUACACCUUCUGAUCAAAACAAAAACUGGAAUUUGCGCUGUAUGUCUGUUCAACCGUAAUUCACCUCUUUCAUAUUAAGUGCUUGUAAUAACUGUCUGUGUGUUUAUUUAAUUGAAUAAGAGAUAUAUAUAGAUAGAUAGAUAGAUAGAUAUUUCUUCUUGGGCCAAAAAAUGCUCGCAACAUUAAUAUAUGUCUACAUUAAUGAAAAGUACUAAUACGCAAUCUGACGUUCUUUAUAAAAAAUAUGCAUUUAUUCUACUUCAACAGCAAACAAUAAUAUACUUAAUAGAUGGUAUUUCUUAACGACGUUACAGAGAGCACCUCAGGACAUCAGAGAGGAGAGCAAAAUGGAUCGUAGAAGGAAGAGAGCGUGGUCCUUUGUCCUCUGCCCUAUAUAGCCCAAAUUACGUCAUAAUGUUUAGUUUAGACUCUGGCCGUAUAAGGAAAUUCCCCAUAUAAAGACCACCCCAAAUCUCUUAUACCGCAAAUUCCAGAGAUCUCAUGGUACAGAAUAGCAAACGCCAUCUGUUCUGUUUAACCCAUUAGACAGCCACGCCUUAAUAUGUAUUUGAAUAGGAACAUAUAGAAUAUGCAUUAUUUUACAGUGCUCCCACACUCAUUAUAUAUCAUUUUGUUCAGAAGAAACAGGGCUUUAAUUACUCAUGAACUAUUCAUAUAUAAAACAUAAUUUAUUAUGAAUAAAGUAAAAAAACUGUGAGAAAUUAAGAUUUUGAAACUAAUUUGUAGUUCCACCUGACAUUUUAGCUGUACAUAUCAUAAUACUGUUAGCUUUUACUGCAAUAAAAUGCACAUAUUUGUAUUCAGCAACGUCUCACGAGUACAAUAGUACCCCCCUUUAACAGGUUUUACGGUGUUUUGGAAUGUUACACGGUCAAAUAUAGCACAUUCCAUUUUUCUGUUUUUUUGCAAAUUUAAAUUUGCCAGAUUAGUAAUGUUACCUUUGAGGCUGUAUGGUAGCUAGGAAUGAGAAUUACCCCCAUGAUGGCAUACCAUUUGCAAAAGUAGACAACCCAAGGUAUUGCAAGUGGGGUAUGUCCAGUCGUUUUUAUUAGCCAAAAAUUCAUAUUUGGCCAGUGUUUGUGACUAAGUGGCUACUAAAAAAGACUGGACAUACUCCACUUGCAAUACCUUGGGUUCCUUACUUUUGCAAAUGGUAUGCCAUCAUGGGGAUAAUUCUCAUUCCUGGGCUACCAUACGGUCUCAAAGGCAACAUUACCAAACAGGCAAAUUUCAACGUGAAAAAAAUGAAAUGCAAGCCUUAUAUUUGACUCUCUAACUUUCCAAAACACCAUAAAACCUAUACAUAGGGGGUACUGUUAUGCUUGGUAGACUUCACUAAACACAAACGUUAGUGUUUCAAAAUAGUAAAAUGUAUUACAACAACAUCGUCAGUAAAAGCGCUGUUCAUGUGUGAAAAAUUCAAAAAACUUCACUUUUACUAAAAAUAUCAUCGUUGUAAUACAAUUUACCAUUUUGAAACACUAAUAUUUAUGUUCAACAAAGUCUCCUGAGUAAAACAGUACCCCCCCAUGUACAGGUUUUAUGGUGUCUUGGAAAGUUACAGGGUUAAAUAUAGUGCUUGUGAAUUACAUUCUCUGCACUUUCUGCCUGGGUUGUCAGGCAUGUCAAUCAAAUUUUAAUUAAUAAAAUCACAUAAUUAUGCCAAAAGAUUAUUUAAAUAUAGACUUCGAAUUUUGAGAUAUAAAAGAAAAUGUAUUCCUACUUACCGUAAUUUUCUUUUCCUGGUCAUAGGCCAUGGCAGCACAGCAAUGGGUAGCUCCUCCCUAUCCCUAACUAGACAGGAACGUGAUUAAAACAGGAGGUAUAAGUAACCCCUCCUACCCCUCCCACCCUCAGUCUUAUUUCCAGCAAUAUCCCAGGGUGGGAUCUUUGUGCUGCCAUGGCCUAUGACCAGGAAAAGAAAAUUACGGUAAGUAGGAAUACAUUUUCCUUUUUCCUGGCCAUAUCCAUGGCAGCACAACAAUGGGUAAUACCCAAGCAAUAACCAAGGGAGGGAAAGAAGUACACAAGACUUCCAAAAUAUGAAUGCAAAUUGACAACCUACACACACCUCAUAAAGACAUUCAAAAUGAAAAAACUGAUUGCCCACUAAUGGCACAUUAUCAAAUUGACCAACUGAAAUGUACCCAAAAAAAAAAAAUGUCUGAAAAUUGAUUGAAGACCAAGCAGCCAUUUACCUACAAGUUCCAGGGAAGCUUGGCCACCGAUGCUCAAAAGGGGGGAAAUGGCUCUAGAGUAAACAUACCUUUAAGUACUGUAAUCCCUAGGGCAUAGUAGCCUAAAAAACUGCCAAGACUAUCCACCUGCUGUUGGCUUUUAUAGAGGCUUGAAGAUCUUUAUGGUCUAUUAGUAAAGAUAAACAGAAGAAAUCCAGAAAGCAGAUCUAUAAAAAUAGAUCUUAAAGCAUCUAUCUAGGACAGGAGGAGAAAGUUUUAUUAUGGACUCUACAUUCUAUGCAAAAUAGUGCUUGAGGAUCUAGUAUCUUUCAGUCCAUGCCAAUGUCACCGAUAGAGCUAACUUAAUAUUAAGCAAUUGUGGAGAGAUAUAUUCUCAUGGUUAAAAGGGGUGAAGAUUUCAGAGCCCUAAAAAAAAACAGGAAAGAAUUCCACGGAGAGCAAUAGAUAACCGUGGGAUCAUAUAAAUAUACCGACAGAAAUUUAGAUACUUCCAUAUUAAAGCCCUUUCACGAAAAGAGAGAUCAAAGAGUGCUGAGACAUAUCUCUGAGGGGAUGUGGCCAAUUCCUAGAUAAGUCCUGGAUUGAAGAACUUAGAACCUUCUUGGUAGAAUGAAUUUGAAUGAAAACCUAAUUAGAAAUAGACCAGGAAAAAAUGCAUCUCAACUCUGUAAAGGUAGCCAAGGAUAUAAGUUUUCCAUGGCCCUCAGAAGGGUAUUAAUUACUGUAGUUCAAAAACUCUUAUAUUUAAGCCCUUCUACAUUAUCGAAACCUUCAGAAUGAGGAAAGUAGCACUGGACCUGAUGGAAGAGGGAAGAACUAUUGUGGGAGAUCCCAUGGAAGGACUGAAGAAGAUAAGUAGAAGUGGAAACCAUGGACUGGGUAUUAAUGUGGAACUGUCAGGAUGAUUGAUAUUGGCUCUUGCAACCUAUGCAGAAGAGAAAUGUUGGAUGUUAAUAUGUGUAAUAUGCUAGUCUGAAAAGAGCUGUACCAUGCCUUGGACCAUGUCAAACUGUAUUCCCAGCUAUACCCUGAACUGGGAUGGAGUAAGGUGACUACAGCAGACAUUCAUCUUUCACCAUGAAGAUGUAAAAAUAAAAGUGAUGUCAGGCAAAGGAUACAUGGCAAUAAGCAUCCUGCAAAUCUAUAGACAUCCUCCAAUGUACUAGGAAUACUACCGUUAUAAAUAAGAAUGUUCAAGCAUCCUGUAAAUUAGAAUGGAUCUCCAACACCUGUUAGAAACAGAUUAUUUGUGUUGUAGUUGCUUUUUUUUUUUAAAAAAAAAUCUCACAAUAGCUUCCUCUAAUUGAAGGGUAGUCAUGAGAUUUACAAAGCAUCUCUUUUUACCUUUUCUCUUCCUCUGGUAGAAUAAUGACAUAUACAAGCUGUUGUAAUUCCUACACCGUUCACCUGAUUUGGAUGUAAAUACCCUCAAAUUAAAGCUGAAAGUCUGCAGUUAAAGCACAUAUUGUUUGUUUCAUUUCAAACCCAUUGUGUUGGUGUAUAGAGCCAAAAAGAUUAGAAUUGUGUCAAUAUCCCAAUAUUUAUGGACCUGACUGUAUAUAUAUAUAUAUAUAUAUAUAUAUAUAUAUAAUAUUUAUAUAGCUUAUAUAUAUGUAACUUCAUUCUAAGUGUAUUUUAAUACUAAUAUAAGUACUUAUAUUAAUAUUAGUUCCACAGCCAGCUAUAGGGGGCCAUUUGAUCGCUCUUUGAGCUGUUGGAGGGCUGCCUGGGCUGUCAGGCAGUCCUCCCGAAGAGGAUCUCGGCGGAGGUAAGUCCACCGGAGCUCCUUGGGUAGAAAGCUGUUACGGUGUUCUUUGCUGCCGCAAGGGCUUUAGAGCCCAUUAUAAUGGGGACGGCAUAGAACGCCGUAACGCCGUUAAGGGGUUAAAAUCUUUAAAAUGUCACAUCAUUUUUUUGGUUUGUGCAUUCUGAAGCUAACCUUUACUUGUAAAAAAAAUAUUUUUGUAAUUUUGAUGUGCUGUAGAAAUUACUUAUGUGUCUAGUCUCUAAGCAAUUAAAUUGUCAACGUCAGGAAACAUUACAGGUUAGUUACUAAAUGGAGAAUUCAAAGAUAAUUACAAAUUAAAGGCUAGAGUAGCCAAACUGAAAGCAUAGCUGACUUAGAUAAUUUUUCCAGUUCAGCUAUUUUGACUUUAACUUUUAAAUUUGAACAUUAUAACUGUUACACUGUUACAUAUGUUAAAUAGAAGCGGCCCAGAACAGAACCCUCAGGGACACCACUUACCAACUCUCUGUAUUUUUAAAGGACCACUCUAGGCACCCAGACCACUUCAGCUUAAUGAAGUGGUCUGGGUGCCUGGUCCAGCUAGGGUUAUCCCAUUUUUUUAUAAACAUAGCAGUUUCAGAGAAACUGCUAUGUUUAUAAAUGGGUUAAUCCUUCCCCCCAAAGCCUCUAGUGGCUGUCUCAUUGACAGCCGCUAGAGGCGCUUGCGUGAUUCUCACUUUGAAUGUCACAGUGAGAGGUCGCAAGCGUCCAUAGGAAAGCAUUGAUAAUGCUUUCCUAUGCGACCGGCUGAAUGCGCGCGCAGCUCUCGCCGUGCUUGCGCAUUCAGCCGACGGGGAGGAGAGGAGGAGGAUCGGAGGAGGAGAGCUCCCUGCCCAACGCUGGAAAAAGGUAAGUUUUACCCCUUUUCCCCUUUCCAGAGCCGGGCGGGAGGGGGACCCUGAGGGUGGGGGCACCCUCAGGGCACUAUAGAGCCAGGAAAACGAGUAUGGUCCUUUAAGCCAAUGUUCUACCCAGGAACAAGAAUUUUCCUGUAAUAUCUUUUAGUUUAAACAUUAACCUCUUGUGUGGAACUGUAUCAAAUGCCUUGGCAAAAUCCAAGUAGAUCACAUCCACUGCAACACUCCAAUCUAUACUUUAUUUACAUCUUCGUAUAAUGCAAUUAAGUUAGUUUGACAUGACGUAUGUUUCAUAAAACCAUGCUGAUUAUUGCUAAUAACAAUGUUCUUCUCAAAUAAUCCCAGAGUAUUAUUCCUUAAUAACCUUUCUUUUGUGUUUUUUCUCCAUUAUUGGGAAGUCUAAAUUAAAUAAUUAAAGGGAAGGUGUGAGUAUAACAGUUUCAUGAAUUAAAUCAAAUAUCAGGGAUACUAUAAAUGUCUUGGUAUCGUUUAGUAUCGGGCAUGUAUACCAUAUAUGGAAUAUUGUGCCAAUCUCUUUCUGACAUCGCCAACAUAGAGGCGAAUAGGCUUCAUAGAUUUUGUGUAGUUUUGAAGGGACCUGGUACCAUCUAUAUAAGAUCUUUAGGUGAAGUUCUACCAGAGAUAUGCAAUGUAUAUAUAUUUUUUUAUUUGAUAGUGGUUUGGUACUAUUCAUAUGGGGUUUAAAUUACUUUCAGAGCCUUUUCCCAUUUGUCUAUUGGUGAAAUUUUUAUAACGUCAUCCUCCCCAUCUAAAACUUUAGAAGAUUUAGUUAUUAAACCUCUAUUUCCUACUUUAUCCAAAUAUCUGAAUAUAGGGUGUUCAAAAUAUAUAUUUUUAAAUUAAGAUAGUGUUUAAUCCUUAAUUAUCGAAAGGUAUCACUAAAGGGUAUAUUGUAUUUAGUUUAUUUAGUAUUAAGCACGGAAAACUAAUCAGAGCUUUAUCAACAAUUUUAUUUAUCCCCAAUAGCCUCCAUUUAUGUAUAUCCAAAUCAAUCAGGUCGUAUUGUAAAGUUUCUAUAGGAGCAUAUAUACGGAUAUAAGGAUAUAAGGAGUCUGAAAGAUUAAGUUUGCUUUUCAACUUUUUUAGCACAUCUAACAUAUCCACUAUUAUUUGAUUUUGAGGUUUUCUUUGCUUGAUUUUAAUUAUAUCUUCUGACCAGAAUACAGUAUUUACAUUUCCACAUGAACUGUUCUCUUGUUCUAUUUGGUACCAGGCGUUAUUCUGAAUAUUUGGGUUAGACCACAACAUUACACUGGCAACUUAUAUAUUGGGGAAUAUUGGGGAAUAUAUUGGGGAAUAUUGGGGAAUGAGAUACCGUCUUUGUCAUAUUUACAUUAAUUCAAGAUCUUUUGAGAUAUUCUUGGGCGUUUAUUUGCCCAAAUAAAGUUCGAAAAUAAUUUUUGGAAUUGUAUUACCUUAUCAUUACUUAAUCUAAAGGGUAAAGAUCUAAAUAAAUAUAACAAUUCCAGAAUAGAAUACGCCUUCACUAUAUUUAGGCACCCCAGCCAUGAGAUCUCAGUUUUGGUCCACUUGGUCAGUUGCUGAUUAAUAGAAGAAUAUAGAUUAUCAUAGUUACAGCGGAUUAUAUUCUGACUAUUAAAAGAUAAUAUAAGACCAAGACACUCAAACUCCGGGUUCCAAUUAAACCAAAAUGUGGAUUUAAGUAAAGAUAGUUCAGCCUCAGGUAAAUUUUUAACCAUAAUUUGAGUUUUCUUUAUGUUAAUUUUAUAGUUUACGAUAGCUCCAUAUGUUUCAGUUAUUUUUAAAACUUAUGGAAUAGAGAUUGCGGGCCUCGCCAGGGACAGAAGCACAUCAUCCGCUAAUAGAGAAAUUUUAUAUUCCCGAUUGGUUGAUUUAAUCCCAAGUACUUCUUUGUUGUCUCUAAUCAUAAUAGCCAAUGGUUCAAUAGAUAAGAUAUAGAGUAAUGGGGCCUAUGGGCAGCCUUGCCUCGUGCCAUUUUAUAUUGGAAAUGUAGAUGAUUCAAAAAAGGGAUUUAAAAUUUUAGUAGUUGCUACUAUAUAUAAUGACAUGAUUUUAUCUUUAAAGGGUCCUCAGAAUCCAAAUUUAUUUAAUACUCUAUCUAAAAACUUCCAGUCAACCCUGUCAAAUGCCUUUUCUGCAUCCAAUGCGAAAAUGGCCAAUUCUGAAUUCAUAAGAUUGCUUUUAAUAAUCAAAUUGAGUAUUAUACGGAUAUUAUCUGUCCCUGGUGAAACCCGACUGGUCUACCACAACUAUAUCAGAAAUAACUGCUUUCAAUCUGUUUGCUAAAAUGUGAGAAUACAUUUUUAAAUCUAGAUUUAUUAAGGAAAUCAGUCUAUAAUGUAUUGUGUUCGUGGAAUCUUUUAGUGGUUUAGGAAUCAAAAUAAUAGAUGCUAACAGUAUCUCUUUAGGGAACGGAUUAGUAGUUGAGACAUCUGUAAAAACUUUCAGUAGUAUAGGGGCCAAAAUAUCAGCAAAAAUUCUAUAAAAUAACGUUGAAAAGUCAUCCGGUCAGUUUUUCUGGAGAGAUUUCCAGAAUUUCCAGAAUAGCAAGUUUAUUCAGAAACCCAUCUAUUUACAAGAUUGACACCUUAGGAUCUGGUAUAUUAUAUAAAGCGUAGAAGGAGUCUACAAAGGCCUAAGAUAUUUCCUUAGAGUUUAAAAAGCAUUUAUCGCCUACUAUUAUUUUUUUUCAUAGUUUUAUCUAUAAGUAUUUUUUAAUCUGUUCGUAAGAACUUUAUUAACUUUAUUAUUGUUGUGAUACCAUUUUUGCUUGAGAAAAAAUAAUAGAUUUAUUCGCCUCAUCCAAGAGCUUUUAUUAAUAUAAUGUUUAAAGCAUAUAAUUUCAUUAGUGAUAUCUAGGGUUGUUUGUGACUUAUUUUCUCUUUCAAACUUAGCCAACAUAAUAUGUAGUUAAGAGAUACUUUCUUCUUUUUUUUUUUCUUUUGACUCGAGUCUGCUUUUAUCAGAACCCCUCUAACAAAAAUUUUAAAUGAGCACCAAACUGGAUACUUCCCCAUUAUCAUUAAUUUGAAUAAAGUGCUUCAUUUCUGCAGCUAAUUCAGCAGGUACCUUAUCAAUUUGUAGAAGACUUUAAUUCAGUCUCCAUCUGUUUCUGAUUUUGAAAGGGGAUGGAGAUUUAAAUGUUAAAAAACUGGGGCAUGAUCAGAUAGGAUAAUUGAGCCAAUCUUGCAAUCCAUAAUCUAACAAAGCAGGACUAACAAAAAAAAGUAAAUCUGAGAAUAGGUCUAAUGGACAUGAGAAAAAUAGGUAUAAUCUCUCGAUUGUGGGUUAAAGGUUCUCCAACAAGCGAAGAGGGAGAGUUCUUCAGCAAAAAUUCAUCAAAUUUAUUUGCAGCUGUUUUAAUUUUUGGGUCCCAUUAUUUGUUAUUGUGUUUGCUUUUAUCUAGUUUUAAGUUGGGAACACAGUUGAAAUAACCUCCAAAAAUUAACAUUUCUACACUUAACCGUAUCAAUUUUAUGAGCACAAUCUUCCAGGAAACCCACUGAGAAAUCGUUAGGAACAUAUACAUCUACCAAAGUAAAUAUUAUGUCAUUUAACUUGGCAAUUAAAAGUAAAAAUCUACCAUUUAUAUCAAUUUCCGAAUUUAUAUAUUCAAAUUUAAGAUUUUUUGAUAAAACAAUAGCCACUCCUCUUCUUUUAUGAUUACCUUCAAGAUUGGCAUAGUAUACUACUGGAAAAUAAUUAAAGUGCCAUAAUUUUUCAGGAGGACAUAUCCAAUAAGUUUCCUGGAUGAAGGCUAUAUCUACCUUAUUUUCCUUUAAAAAUGUACUCCCCCAUUUCUGGUGUGAAUACACAUCUAAGUGUCAUCUAAAGCCAUCAUACCCUCUAUAGUCGAGUCCCAAUAAUGCAGUCCUACACCAAUAACAAACAUAGAACAAAAUUAAACAAAGAAAAUAACAUAUCUUCUUGUUUAACUGAAACCUGCAACUUACUACUAUGAAAUUUUUUUUUAAAAAUUGAAUGAUUAAUAAUAAAUUAAUAUUAGUGAUUUGCAGUGGACUGCCUUUCUCUUUAUAAUUUUAUAAUUCAUGUAACUAAAUAGUUCUUGUACAGAUCAUUAAAGUAAAAAUAUAAGUAACAAUAGGGUGUAUAGAGUCAACCUCGGACCAUGUAUAAGGUCCUAUAAUAAAAUAAUAUAUUUACUUCCGAUAUUGAAGGAGUAGAUUUGAUUUUUACUCUGGUUAUUGAUCAAUAACAUAUCAAGCUUAGGCCCCAUCAAAGGUCAUAGUUCAACUUGCAUUAAAUCCUUCAUUAGCUGGGAAAAAAAUAAAUAUAUAUUUAAUAACUAAAUAAAUUUUAAUUGUAUAAUUGAUUCUUUAGCAGAUACUGGAUCUUUAAAGGGACACUAUAGUCACCAGAACAACCACAGCUUAUUUAAUUUGUUCUGUAAGGCUUUUUGCUGUAAACACUGUCUUUUCAGAGAAAAUGCAGUGUUUACAUUACAGCUUAGUGAUAACUUCACUGGUCACUCCUCAGAUGGCUGUUAGAGAUCCUUCCUGGGUCAUGGCUUUCUAAAAUGCAUCCAAACAUUCAGUAUCGCCUCCCUCUGCAUGCAGACACUGAACUUUCCUCAUAGAGAUUCAUUGAUUCAAUUUAUCUCCAUGAGGAGAUGCUGAUUGGCCAGGGCUGUGUUUGAAUUGUGCUGGCUCUGCCCCUGAUCUGCCUCCUUGUCAGUCUCACCCAAUCCUAUGGGGAAGCAUUGUGAUUGGACCAGGCUACCACUUCUGAUGAUGUCAGCACACUGCUUGUUUUUCUGAGUCUAACAGCAUGCUUCUGGCUUGAAUACAGUAAGAUUUUGCUAUAUUUAUGGGAGCAUGAGAGGCCCAGGGGGGCUAGAUGGUGGUUUUAACACUAUAGGGUCAGGCAUACAUGUUUGUGUUCCUGACCCUAUAGUGAUCCUUUAAAUACAUGUGAAUGAUCUUGAUAAAAUAUUACUAGAGCAACUGGAAAAUUCCAUUUAUAUCUAAUGUUCUUGGAUCUGAGCGUUGCUGUAAUUUUUAAUAUUGUGUAAUUGACUAAGGUAUUCCUCUGAUUUUGACAUUGUUUCUUCUGGAUCAAUCCUCUAUAUCCAUUAUUUAUUCUCCAGUUUGUCGACUCUAUCUUCUAAUAGUUUGUUCGAUGAAGACAAACUUUUAUUUUCUUCUUGUAAUUUCUGAAUUGUAUGAGUUUGUUCUGUUAGAGUACUGGUAAUUUGUGUAAGCUUUCCUCUCUCAUUCACUCCUUAUUCUUAUAUGACUUUCCCUUUAAUAUAUUUGGUAUACUGUCUUCUUAUAGCACUUGAUUUAUCUACCCCUUCUCAAUCCCCCUUCUCCUUGCUUUAUCCAAGCACAAAACCAACCAAAAAAAUUAAUAAAUAAGAUUAGCAGGGGGAAAAUUUGAAAAGUAAGCAAGUCUCACCAAGUCUCAGUUAAAUUCAAAUAAAUAUAAUGCAGUAAGGGAUCCUUAGUAACGUAUAGCUUCAGGUGCAGAAAUAAAAGCCAGCGCUAACUGAUGCACCGUGUGGCUGUGAGGUACACAGAUAAUUAAUUUUCAAAUGAAAUCCCGGUAGGGCAAAAAGCUAAUUUAGCUUAGCUUUUAACUUAUUGAUAACAUUUCAAAUACAUUUCCUGGUACAUGGGAAUAUAUAUAGGUAAUGCUAUCAAUUACAAUUAGAAUUUUGGCACCAAAAUGACGUCAUCAAUGUCAGACUGAAAAUUAGUACAUAUCACACAAAACAUAUUCCAAGCUUAUUUUAAUAACAGUUGUAGUUUGGGAGAAUGGGUAUUAUUAAUUGCAAGUAAAAACAAGGGUAAUUUCUAUGUUUAAACUGAUUUGCUAGUCUGAUAGUGUAAUUUCGCGUCACGUGGUCAUCUGCCACAAUAGCUUAUGGGGAUUGUAUCCCAGGCGUGGCUCGACCUUCUAGAGCGUCUGGCUGAAGCGACUGAGGCGGCUCGUGGGACGUGUGUAUGUGUUUGCACGUCCCACGACUAGAAUCACGGAGGAUGUAGUUUAAAGGGUACCGUUCAUACCCGGAAGUGCCUGCAGAGAGUAACUUCUUUUGUUUAUACAGGAGGAGAUAGCUGUAACGUAAUUCCACCCCAGUGAAGGGAUAGAUUAUGGGCAAAGUAUUUGAGCCAAGAUGUUUUUUAACCAAGAAGUUUUUUAACAAAACAAUAUUAGGGAUUGGGGGCGUGGCCUACCAUAAUCUGUCCAACAGGGCAGAUCCUGACGCCAUCUUGGAUGAGGGAACUUAGAGAGAUGGUAGGCAGAGAAAUAAAAUAAUAAUAAUAAUAAUAAAAUAAUAAAAAAAUAAAAAAAUAUGUACUGGACUCCUGCCCCGCUCCACCGGAUACUCCCAAUGGUAUCAGACACCUGUUGGAGGUGCAGAGUGGGCGUGGGGACCACGCAAAAUAUAUGGUGGGAUUGCCCUAGGAUAUACUGGAACGAGAUCAAAACAACGGCGGAGAUUUUGGGGAAGUCACCGGACUUCAAUCUCGCAAGUGUUUUUCUGCACUCAACUAAACUACCCAUCUCACAAUAUAAAAAAUCAAUCCUGCGACACUUGGUCAACGUGACCAAAUUGUUGGUGCCGGCCCUCUGGAAACAGACGAAAUCCCCCAACGACCGCCCAAUGGCUGCUGAGGGUGGAGGACAUCCUUGCCACCAAGGAGAGGCAGGCAGAACUCUUGGACCAAAGCGACAAAAAACGGAAUGGUGGUGACAGUGGUAUGUGUAUCUAGCAAGAACAAGAUAUUGACCUGGGGGGGGUGGGGAGGUGCUGGCUGAGGCGGGGCAGCCUGCAGGCGCCCUCCGGCAGUUUCUCUUCCUCCUGCGCCCUCCUUUCCCCCUGCAUUCCCCCACUGGGCCCCCGUACUGCAUCAUACUACUCCUUUUCUUGCCUUCUAUUUGUUUCUUCUUGGCUAUCUUUUCCUUUAUCCAGACAGAUCCCUUCCCUUCUUCCAACCAAAUUAUUCAUCACGGCACAGUGGAAAGACCCAUUGUGGACGCAGGGGACACCCCUGAGAUGGAGCACAUUUGUGUAACAACCCACACAACACCCACAUGCCUGACAAAAGUCUCAUCACCAACAUCCUAAUCCAUUUUGCAUAAACCACUAUGACUAUACUAGUAGCAUUUAAAACAAUUACACAUACAACAUGCCCAUACUUACAAACCUAGGAGGAACUCAAACACCCCUUCUUUAGGGAGUAGCCAGUAUAGAAUAUGACAACUUAACUUUUGCUACGCACGAAAGCUGAGCACACAUCCUUGUCUAUAUCAUUAUGCACCAGUUUUCCAUGUUAAUGGACACAAUCUAUAAAAAAAAUCUACACAAAUCUAUAAAAAAUACAAGAUAAGUGAAAAAUUUUAAAUAUAGAAUAAAUAGAAAUUUGAAUUAAAAAUAAAAUUAAUUAGGAAUUUUUAUAUGAAUAAUUAAAUUAAUAUGAAAUGACAAAAAGUUAAAAAGAUCACAUUCUGCAUUUAGACCAUCUGGGGAGAGAGUUUUUAACUGAUAGAACCAAUUCAUUUCUUUUUUGCCUAAGACUUUUCUCAUGUCUCCACCUCUCCAGGGUAUAAUGCAUUUUUGGAUUCCAAUGCAUUUUAAUAGUUUCGUAUUUUUAUUGUGUGUAAUAAAAUGUUUAGACACUGAGUGGUUUUCUUACCCUUUGGUUAUGUUGUGAAAAUGUUCCGCUAGUCUAAUCUUUAGACAUCUUGUAAUCAUACCUAUGUAUUGUAGUCCACAUGGGCACUCCAACAUAUAUAUUAAAUUGUUUGUGUUAUGUCCAAUAAAGUCCUUAAUUGGGUAUGGUUUACCUGUAUUGGUGGAGAAAAACUGAGUUGUUUUAGAUAUUAUUGCUGGGUCUGUAUUUCUGUAUUCUAUGCAUUUAUUGCAUUUCAAUAAACCUUUUGGUUUGGAUAAAAAACAUACUUUGUUUUUUGUAUCUUUUUUAGUAUAUUUUUUGUAAGGAUGCUCCUAAGGUAAGAGGUCCUCUAAAGAUAUUAGGUCUUUCUGGAAUUUGGUCUUUAAAAAGGUCAUCUUGUUUCAAAAUAGGCCAGUGUUUUUCUAUUAUUUUUUUCAUAGUCUUGGUUUUAUUGUUAAAAUCCAGAAUAAUUGGUAACACUGGAAGGUCACUUUUGUUUUCAUAUUAUCUUUUAUAUUGUAACAGAUCUUUCCUAUCUUUAUUUUUUACUGUAUUAAAAGCUUUAUCAAGAUUUUCCGAUGAGUAAUUUUUUUCAAUAAAUGUAUUUUAUAGGGUAGUUUGGGAUUCAAAAUGGUCUAUUUUGGAGCAGUUUUGAUGAAGACGCAAUAAUUGGCUCUUUGGAAUUCCUUCUAACCAUGAUUUGUGGUGGCAGUUUGACUGUGCUAAAAAGGUGCUUGUGCAUACUUUUUUUUUUUUUUUAAGUUUUGGUUGGAAUAGACCCAACUUGGAUAAAGAUAUUAAAAUCUAAAAAGUUAACUGAUGUGUUGCUGUAUUCUGUGGUUAGAAUUAUGCCUCUGUUAUUAGAAUUAAGGUGAUAAAAAAAAACAUUUAAGAGUUAUAUCUGUGCCUUGCCAAAUAAAAAACAGGUUGGCAAUAUAACGGAAGUAGGAAACCAGGUUUACCCGCCAGAGGCACCCUGAUUGGUUGGCUUACCAGCCAACCGAUCAGAAAGCGCUUGGUCAUAUUGCAAAUAGCUAUUAUAGUGUGGGAAAGCCUAAGAAAGGACUUUUCCCCGCUAUGGGCACUCAUUCUGCAGCAACUGCCUAUGGGUGAAGAUGAAUUAUUUUUGGUUGCAGCUUCAGACAAGAGAUCAACAACUUUUACAAGCUGUUUUUUAAUGUACCCCAAAAGAAAAAGUGCAUAAUUAAGUUAAUGCAUGUUUUCAUUGGGGUAUAUCUACCAAACAGUGGUUUGGUUUUGUAUUUUGUCAGUGGAGUAUCCCUUUAUUUUUUAGACCUCACACACAAGUUUCUCUGGGGAGUAUCCUGGGUAGUAUCAGUUCCACAGUACCUGCUAGAAUCCAAGAUGAUGGUACUUGCCAGUAGUACCCUGGAUGGAGCAUUUCCCAGUUUAUUGUGAGGUGCUAGCACCGUAAGACCAUGCUUUGUUCUCUACAGCAUCCCUAUGUCAACACUGCCUCUUUAAAAGAACACUACAGAUUUAGGAUACAUGGCAGGGAGACUGGCUGUCUCAACUCCCGAUAACUUGCCAUGCCGCUGGGGAGGGGAGGGGUUACUCUUCUCCCUGAAAGACCAACUGUUGCUGGGGAGAUGUCUGAGUGGUUAAGGACCCCAUGCCAGGGGGUUGGGGAUCACUGCCCAGCAUCCGAGGACUACACUGGUGGAGUACCUCCGCCAAGUCCGCUUGCUAGCCACUUGCAGGGACCUUGGAACGCUCCAGUCGUAGUCGCCACAGCUUGACUGGGGUCCUUCUGGAGCUUUUGCAUCCAACCAGGCAGCAGAUCUCCUUCCAGGCAGGUAUCGUUCCCUCUGCCUAUUCCGCUGCAGACCAUCUUCCAGGCAGGUAUCAUCCCCUCUGUCUAUUGCAUUGCAGCUCUGCUUACAGUGAUUAUAGUUAUUGCCUUUACAAAGGCAGUUGCAGCUCUCAGGCCUAGUUCUCUUGAUUUAUCCCAGGGAUAGAGGGAUCCUGAAACUAGUAAACAAGUGUGAAAACUCUGUCAGUAGGAUCCCUAAAAAUCCACACAGGACACAAGUUCCAAAAGAACUGACAUCCAAAACUUUAUUUUUCUCUGGUCUAGCCCAUAGACUUAUUAUAUGUAGAUUGCUCUGACAACUUAAAUAAAAUACAAAUAACCAAAUCAUAGCAGACAACAUACAGCAACUUAUUAUAACACAAUGACACAUUUAUAAAGGGGUGGGGAAGAUAAUAACACAAAAUAUCUCUCCUGCCUGCAGAAUUAGCAAUAUGCAAAUCUACCCAAAUAUGCAAAUUAGCAAACCUUGCUAUUCAUGUAGUGUAUAUAGCUGUUGCUGCAACCAACAGAGGGCGCUAUACAGGCUCCAUAGCCAAAUCAAACACAAACAAUUAACAAUAAAUACAUAAUACACAUACAUUACACACCACAUGCACCUACAAUGGGCACAGGGUGACUUAAACAUAGGAGUCAUCCAUGGAUCUAAUUGAAGUGUCCAUCUUAUGUUCCCAGUGAUGGUGACUACUAUUUAACUAAAAUAAUAACACAUAUCAUAAUUAUUCAUGUAUUUGCUUAACCAUCAAUGUUUGCUAAAUGAAGUGGUUAAAUUAAAUAUCAUUAACAAUACGUGUACUUUAAUAGUUUGCCCUCUAACCUGAGUUCCCUGCAUGCGUUAUACCUUUUCUGAUGCUUGGUGAUGCACACCUGGUUACACCCCCUGGUUACAUCAGAGCUUCAGAAACCAGAUGCCAAUCCCACUUGUGUCAGCUGAGCACUCUCUGCCAAUGAAUGACCCACUGUGCCAAGGGUAUGCACAGAACUGACAUUAGCCAACCUGGAACUCUUAUUCCAGACUGGCGACUAAUGUACUAAUGACACUGCUGGAGGUGGAGUUACACCUCUGACAGCAAUAUAAGAUAUAUCAGUAUGUGCCUAGUUUCAUAUUGAACAUUUGAGCAUACAGACUCCAUGCACAAUGGCCUCUUCAAAUUACUGAAGUGAUCAUAAUGCUUGGAGUAACCCUUUAAGGUAAGGCAUUCAUUGUGUUAGACAUCCUACGUCUCCCAGUAGUUCUGGGAAACUCAUGCAUUUGUCAAGCUCCUUGACACCCGCUCAUACAAUAUCCCCGAAUAUACACACACAAUUUCAUGUGUGUGUGAUUUCUAUUAUAUUGUAUGCAAUUUGCUUUCCCUGACCCCCCAUAAUAUUUGCUAAACAGGGGCCCUGGUCGGGUGCAGGCCCUGUAAGAGCCCACAGGGGGCCUGUGAUAUCAGCCAGCAGGGAGAAAGUUAGAACCAUUUCCUCCCAGUUUCAUAAAGAACCGCACGGUAGUAGUGGAGGGAGGAGGCUAGAGGGAGCAGAGGAGAACCGAGCAGCAUGGAGACAGAGGAGAGCCUGGAGUGAGCUGCUGCUGCAUGCUCACUCCCAUCAGCCUCAGCGAGGACCAGGCCACUCCCCCUCCUCUCCCCAGCAAGCCACCCUUCUGGACAGAAAGGUAAGCUAAUUAGAGGGUGGCUGCAAAUAUAUAAACAUGUCUGACGUCAUAUUGUGUGCAUGCCAAUAUGUCUGUUUCUGAGUGUAUGCGCCAGUGUGUGUAUCUGAGUGUGUGCUUUUAUCUGUGUGUCAGUGUGUGUAUCUGAGUGUAUGUGCCAGUGUGUGUAUCUGUGUCAGUGCGUGUAUCUAAGUGUAUGUGGCAGUGUAUGUAACUGAGUGUGUGUCAGUGGGUUUACCUGAGUGUGUGUCAGUGUGUAUCUCUGAGUGUAUGUGCCAGUGUGUGCAUCUGUCCGUUAGUGUGUGUAUCUGUGUUUGUGUUUCAGUGUGUGUAUCUUAGUGUGUGUCAGUGUUUGUAUGUGCCAGUGUGUGUAUCUGAGUGUAUAUGUCUGUGUGUUUCAGUGUGUGUAUCUGUGUGUUAGUAUGUAUCUGAGUGUGUGAAUGCACCAGUGUGUGCAACUGUGUGUGUAUGUGCCAGUACUUGUAUCUGUGUGUCAAAGUGUUCAUGUGUGUGUCUGUGUGGUGGGGGAAGAGGGUAGUGUGGGGUUACGCAGAAGCUGGUGAAGCGACCUACCUGAAAUGCAUUUUGCAUGUUGGGAUGUCUGUGUACAUAGAUUUACAGAAUAACACAGGAAAUUUGUAAGUUUAUAUUAUAUUUCACAGUGAGAAAGUACAUGUUAUCUUUUGCUGACACAAGAUUAAUUAGCUUUAAUUAAUUUACCAAAAUGUAAAUAUAGCUUCAUGAUACAUAACUAAUCCAUGUUUUGUGAUGAAUAAUCUUUGAACUAUAAUCUACUUUUAAUAGGAUACAUUUAUAGAUUUUUGAUUCAAAAAAGCACUUUAUCAAAAGAAAUACAAUUUAAAUAAAUACAAUUUGAUUUAAAUAAUAAAAUUUAAAAAGUCUGAUUUUUUUAUUUUCAUUUUCUUAGAUAAUUGAUUUUUAUCCACCUUAAAUCAGAUGCCUAUAAAUCCUAUAAAUUCCCUGAAAAAAAUCUCAAGUGCAUGUAUAUCCUUAUCCAUGUCUAGUGGUCUCCUAUAUACCGUACCCAUGCGUAGGAUAAAUACAAUUCAAGAAUCUUGCAUGCAGUAUUGCAUGCGUAUGUAUAUAGGAUGUUUUGUGGCGUACACACGAUCCAUGGGGCCCUGGUGCGAAAACUGAUUUGUGCGCCCCCUGGCGGUUACACCGCACAGGUUGGGGCCGCAACACAUGGCGGCGGGCACCCGGUCACAGGGGUCCGCAGGGCGGCUGGGCCCCCUGUAAUGACGGGGCUGGUCGCCGUUGCGACCUCUGCAUGUACACCACUGUACACACACAUAUAUACAUACAUACAAACACACACACAGAGACAAAUAUAUACAGACACACACAUACAUCCAAACACAUACAUACAUACAAACACACAUACAUACAGAUACAUACAAACAAACACAUACACAUAUAUACAGACACACACAUACAUACAAAUACAGACACACACACACACACAUACAUACAAACACAGGCAGAUAGACACACACAUACAGACACACAUACAGAGAAACAUUCAUACAGACACACACACAUACAUACAAACAAACAAACACAUAUACAAAAUAUUUUAGUCACCAUCCUGUUUCCUACCUAUUAGAUGGAAGAGGGUGACUUCCCUGGGGUCCAGUGGUGGCUCAGCCUGAUGGGAGUCAGAGUUCCAAGAGUUCCUCUCUUCCUCCCGUGCGGCUCCCAUUGUAAGCUGGGAGGAGUGUUGGGGCACCUGGUCGCAGGGGUCCGCAGGGCAGCAGGGCCCCCUGGAGUAAGGUGACCAGUCGCAGCUGUGACCCCUGUGACCGUGGUAUGUACACCACUGGGGAUGUUUGUUUUAUUCUGUGCGGUUAUGGGCUUCCUGUUAUGUUAUAUAUGUGUGUGCACUGUUUAUGGUAGUUAUGUAUGUGAAGUUGUCCGCGGUUUUAUGGGUAUGCAUGUGAACUGUUUGUGGUAUUGUGUGUAUGUGUCUGUUGUGCUAUGUAAGUGUGUCUCUAGUGUUGUGUGUAUAUGAGCUGUUUGUAAUAUUGUUUGUGUUUAUGUGGGCUGCCUUUUGUGUUAUAUAUUUAUAGAAAAUGCAAAAUCUUUCACUGAAUACUCUGUGAUAUUAAAAUUUCACCAAAAAAAACACCAAGUGCCCUUAGUGAAUUAACAAUAUAGAUAACUUCCCUCUAAGUUGUAGAUUAUGACCCGAAGAUCUCCUCAAAUCUUCCACAAACACAUAAAUUAUAUAUGUAUGAUGUUAUAUGCUUAUUUGUAAUUCCUAGUAGUACUUAUAUGUGAUGUGGGCAGUCUGGCAUAUUAACAGAGCAGAACAGAAGGAGUUAACAAGUGGACUGUCUGGCACCUCACACCACUACUCACUGUAUGAACAAUGAGGGAUACUGCCAUUCAUUUGAUUUUCUUUUCUUUUUUUUUUCUUCUUAUGUGGCAUCGGAAAAAAGAAGACUAGCAAAAAAUACAUUGUAUAACAUUUUCAGGUCUUAUGUGAUGGCACCAAAUUGCUUCAUUAAUAAGCAAGUAUAAUUACUAUCUAUCUAUCUAUCUAUCUAUCUAUCUAUCUAUUUCAUCUUUUGUUUUGUUCUAAAACAGUCCACAUUAGGAAAAAUAAAGACAAGCAGCCGUUAGCUGACAUUACAUAAUAAUGAUGCUUAUUGUGUACUAAUGUUUGACCUAAUGGCGUGUCUGUGUUUUCCUUUUGGCACAAGUGUUCUACCAUGUGAUCUAGCCUCUGAUGUUAACAUUUAUUGCAGUGUUUGUGCAGAGAUACAGAGUGUUAGUGAUCACCAUAAAACUGGUUUGCCUUACUGUGCCAUCUGAACCUGUAUCUUUGUUCCAUUCAAGAAAGAAUACAGUUUUUGGAGAUGAGGCAUUAACAAAGGAAACCUUCUGGAUCCUAUCCUGAUCAGAUUGUUCCUAGCUGCUAUCAUGGACAACAAGGAAGAGAAGAAGGAGCGAAGACAGGGAUACUUUGCAAGGUCAGUGAUUCCUUUAGAAAUAUACAAUAGGCACUCAUAGUAAGAAAUGCAAAGGGCAAGUUUGCUACUUAUGCUGUCUGAC
rnacentral:lncRNA from 1 species